rnacentral:lncRNA from 1 species
GAAUUGAUCCAUAUGGAUGUUUGGGGACCUUACAAAAUCAUUACUUAUAAUGGCAUGAACUACUUCCUUACUCUAGUGGAUGAUUACUCUAGAUGGACUUGGGUUUUUUUGCUCAGACUCAAGUCUGAUGUAUCCAGUAUACUCAAAACCUUUCUUGCUAUGAUUUUGAAUCAGUUUGAGAAACAUGUGAAAGUUUUCAAAACUGAUAAUGGUUCAGAGUUUUUUAACAAUGCUUGUGGUGAAUUAUUCAAAACUCAUGGUAUUCUGCAUCAAAGUUCAUGUCCAUAUACUCCACAACAAAAUGGAGUAGUUGAAAGAAGGCAUAGACAUCUUUUAGAGACAGCCAGAGCUAUCAAAUUUCAAGGCAAUUUACCAUCCAAAUUUUGGGGAUGUUGUGUUGAGGCAGCUGUAUAUAUACUUAAUAGAGUACCCUCUACUGUUUUGAAAGACAAGUCACCAUUUGAAAUGCUUUAUGGUCGAGCACCCUCUUUAUCACACUUGAGGGUUAUUGGUUGUCUAUGUUAUGUAACACUCAUGCCCAGGCAAGAUAAGUUUGGUGCAAGAGUUGUUAAGUGUGUCCUAUUGGGAUAUGGUUUAUAUCAAAAGGGAUACAAGGUGUAUGACUUGGCUAAGAAACAGGUCUUUAUCAGUAGAGAUGUUAUGUUUCAUGAAUCUUGUUUUCCAUUUUUAUCUAAAGAUUACACAGAGUUUCACUCUGUAACAUCAGACCAUGAGUUAUUCCUGCAUCUUGAUUCUCCUAAUCAUAUUCCACCACCUACACAAUCAGUUUCUAGUCUUCCUGAACUUCCUAAUACUUCUAUUUUUCCUUUUACUGAAUCAUCCUCUGUUAGUGUUGAUACUCAGUCUUCUACUGACUUACAAUCAACAUUCACACUUCAUUCUUCUGAAGUUGUGUCUUUUCCUACAUCUAGAAAAUCUACAAGAUCCAUCAAACCUCCAAUCUGGUUGAAAGAUUUUGUUGUACCUACAAAAACUUCUACUUCUACUUGUCUGUAUUCUCUUAGUGAUGUUAUGAACUAUGAUUCCUUAUCUCCUACUUAUCAGAGUUUUAUUGCUAAAUUCUCUGCUGAUAUAGAGCCUAAGUCUUAUGCUCAGGCUGCCAAAGAUCCUAGAUGGGUUGAGGCAAUGGAGUUAGAAAUUCAGGCCUUGGAAGAUAAUCAUACAUGGGAGAUUGUGACUUUACCUACUGAUAAAAGAGCAAUUGGUUGUAAAUGGGUGUUCAAGAUAAAGUAUAAAGCUGAUGGCACAGUUGACAGAUUCAAAGCAAGGUUGAUGGCUAAGGGUUAUAGCCAGCUUGAAGGCCUUGAUUAUCAAGAUACAUUUUCCCCUGUGGUUAAAAUGGUUACUGUAAGGGUAGUCAUUUCCUUGGCUGCUACCAGAAAAUGGUCUAUCCAUCAGAUGGAUGUAUACAAUGCCUUCUUGCAAGGUGAUUUGGAAGAGGAAGUUUACAUGACUAUGCCACCAGGUUUUUUUCACAACUACAAAGCUACACAUGCUUGCAAACUAGUCAAAUCUCUUUAUGGUUUGAAGCAGGCUUCUAGACAAUGGAAUGUGAAAUUAACCACAGCUUUGCUCUCCUUUGGAUUUACUCAAAGUCCUUUGGAUUACUCCUUGUUCAUUAAACAGUCUGCAGGAAAGAUUGUCAUCAUUCUUGUAUAUGUUGAUGAUUUAUUAAUCACUGGUGAUGAUCUAGAUAUGAUUCAGGACACCAAACUCAGUUUGCACUCUCAUUUUAAAAUCAAAGAUCUUGGUGAGCUUCGAUACUUUCUUGGAAUUGAAUUUGCUAGAAGUACUGAAGGUAUAGUCAUGCACCAGAGGAAAUAUACUCUUGAUCUUAUCUCUGACUUGGGGUUAUCUGGAGCCAAGCCAGCUAAUUCACCACUUGAGCUACAUGAGAAACUUACAUCUACAGAACUUGAUUGUCUUAUAGAUACUAAGGAUGAUCAUUUACUCACUGAUAUCAGCUCCUAUCAACGACUUAUUGGUAGAUUGUUGUAUCUUACUCAUACAAGACCUGAUAUCUUGUUUGCUAUCCAGACAUUAAGCCAAUUUAUGCAUUCUCCAAAGCUAUCUCAUAUGACUGCUGCUACUAGAGUUGUUCGAUAUCUCAAGAAAUCUCCUGGUCUAGGAAUUUUUCUUUCUUCAGAUUGUGAUUCCACUUUAACUGCAUUCUGUGAUGCUGAUUGGGCCUCAUGUCCUAAUACUCGACGAUCAGUUACUGGUUAUUUGAUCAAAUUUGGUUCUUCAUCUGUUUCGUGGAAAUCAACAAAACAAUCCACCAUUUCUCGUAGCUCAGCUGAGGCUGAAUAUCGCAGUCUUGCAUCUACUGUGGCAGAAAUUGUCUGGCUUGUAGGCUUGCUUACAGCACUGAAUGUCAAGAUACCUCUUCCUGUACCAUUACAUUGUGAUAGCAAAUCUGCUAUUCAGAUCGCUUCUAAUCCUGUUUUCCAUGAGCGCACAAAGCACAUCGAUAUUGACUGUCAUUUCAUUCGCGAACGAAUACAAACUAGACUGAUAUCUCUUCAUCAUCUCUGCACUUCAGAGCAACAGGCUGACAUUCUCACCAAAGGCUUAGUUUUCCGUCAACAUUCUUAUCUUCUUUCCAAGCUAGGAAUGAAAAAUAUUUUCAUAGCUCCUAGCUUGAGAGGGGGUGUUGAGGAAUUGACAAGUUGUAUUGCAGUGCAUUGAAGGAAUUAUUACAAAAUUGUUAUUAGUUAGUUAUAUAACAGAUUAGUUAGUUUUUUUGUUAGUUAGUUAAGUUGGUUAGUAAAUUGAUUAGUUAGUUAAUUACCAUUAAGUAGUUAGUAUAAAAUAGUCAUUUUACUUUCUUUGUAAGUAAUCAAGCAUAUGAAUGUUAAAGCAAGUCACGUUUUCUCUCUGAUUCCUCUCAUUCUUCUUCUUCUUUCUCUUCCUCUUCUUCUUCUCAACACAAUCUUAGUUACUUCAUUGCACACUUUCAUGGUGGAUGCUUGAUUCUAACAAAAAGUGAACAAUAAAAUUAGAAAAAACAUAGAGUUGCAAACAUAUCCCUUCCUUGCUGCAUCACGUACAACUUUAUACAAGGUCUCUUAUCUUACUUUUUUGUUUUUAGUUUUCCUAACUCUUGAUUCUUUAAUAACACAAUCAUAAAAAUAUGAGGCUAUAAUGAGCAACCAUUGAGAACCUUGUGUUUAGAAAUAUCCUAUAUGAUAGAACAGUUCACCAGUAAAAACCAGUGUUUUUCUUCAUAAACUUACAAUGCCACAAUCGUAUUGAAACUCAGGGUUUGACUUCAUUUCAUGAGUUUUCUCCUGAAAUGGGGUAGAGUAUCAGAAGAAACUUCGAAGUUUAUAAAAAAACAAGGCCUGCCAGGCUCACAGGGAGCUAAUACCGUAUAUCUAAAUUUCAUUUUAAAAUAAAAGGAAAUAAAUAUACAGAGACAAGAUUGUAAGAACUACUUACAGCUUUUUCAUAUCCUUCUAAUGAUCGUAGAGUACUAUCGUGAUUCCAUCCUCCAUCCAGAAUAAAGGAAGAGAAAUAUGCACUUCCUAAGAUAUCUACAACCAGAUGAAAAAGCUCAGUGAAGUACUUGAAAAUUGGAUUUAUCAUAAUGUUUGUUACUGCAGAUACUAGAACAUUUUCAUAAGUAUAGGAUACACUUAAUAAAAUUCUACUUACUGCGUAUAUGCUAUGUCAUGGUUCCAUGUACCAAAAUGUGUAAUUUUUGCACCUAAUCUGUCUUUAACGUAAUCAUAUGCUACUUCUAACUAUACACAAUUAGGGACGGGUGAAUUCAAUUAUUGACAAACACUAAGUAAAACAUUUUGGCGAAUUGGCAAAGCUGAGAGUGACUAACUAGAUUCAGUUCUCAAGUAAACAAGAUCCAUCCAUGUCAUCCAGAGCGAGUGCCCUUUGGGCAUAUUUGAUGCAUUCACCAAUAUGAUGUGGUGGAUUAUCAGCAACGGUUAAAUGGAUAUACAAUCAGAUGAACAGAUCAACAACAACCACUAAAACUAAAAAGUGAGAACACUUGAGAUUCUCGUUGGAGAAAAGUAAAUUACGAAAAAGUAAAAGAAGACAAAAGCAUCGCACCAUAUGGACUAUAUUCACCCCGUGCAUACAGCAAUUCUAGGUCUGCAAGUUGCCGUAAAGUCAUGCUGUCUUCUUUCUAAAUCAGAUAAAAAAUGAAGAAUCUAUGAAAUAAAGGUAACUUUUAAAGUUUUGAGAAGGGAAAAUUUAAGAACUGAAGAAGCAUCGAGAUUACCACUGUCAGGACAAACUGAAAGUAGAAUUUAGCUCUAGGGUAAUCUCUUUUCUAGGCAAAGCAGAUGCCAAGGGAAACCCAAGCGUCCAGCAGAUAUGGUGCCAAAUUAGUCUGGAAGAUAAAAUUAACAGUAAGAAGUAAACCAAAUGCAAGUUCAAACCAUGUAAUUUUGCUUCCACUCACAGCAUUCACUAGAAGAUGCUCUUCCUCCUCCUUGUAACAACCAGGAAUUGGAUUAUACUACCUUCCUUUUGUAAGCUCAAACACUGCACUUUCAUAUUCUGAUUGCCUGUUUUCUACACGAACUAAACUCAUUCUCAUGAUUACUUGAGAAAUUGAAUUGAAUGCGUUUUUUUUCUGGAUAAUCCAUAAAAGAAAUUUACCUUGAGGGAUUGAAUUGAGGGCGUGGAUACACAUAUCGAUUUGGUACUCCAUAUCAGCGAUUUUCUCUUCUAAAGUUGGCCGGAAAUGCAUGUAGUAAUAAUCAUAGAGCCACUCCACCAUUUCAUCGGCUUUUGCAAUCCAAUCAUCGUAUUUCUCAUCAAUGGAGGCUUCUCCUUUCUCCAUAACAACUUCUUUUUGAUCAGUGGAGGCUUCUCUCUUGUCCGUAACAACUUCUUUCUCAUCAAUGGAGGCUUCUCCUUUCUCCAUAACAACUUCUUUCCCAUCAGUUGGAGUGCUCAUCUUCAACAUUGAAGCUCACUGCAACUUUUGGUGGGAAAUUCUGUUUUUUCAAGUAUCACGUUUUCUUCAUCUACUAAUUUAACAAAUUGCCCUGCCACCCCUAAUAGUUUUUCUAAUAUCUUUUUCACCCUUAAUGUCUUAAGUUUUAACCUUAGAGUCUCAUAUUUACUAGUAUUUGAAGAAAUCUCCUAGUCCCACUUUUAUUUUUUAUUUAUAGAAGAUACGAAUAUUAUAAUAAUCUAUUGUACAAAGAGUUAUAUAUGAAUUGCAUCAUCAAUGAUUUAAUUUUGCCUUUCACGUUGAUGAAUGUAUGAUAAUUUGGAUAUUUUUCUAUCUUUUACAUUUUGUGAGACAUCUAACUUUCACUUCUCUACUCACAUGUUGGUUGACAUGUAUCCUCCACACGCUAAAAAAUUGCAAGCUAUAAUAAUCUAGUGUAGGAUAAUUUUAACUUUUUUCAUUUUAAGAAAAAAUCAAGAUACUAACGGCUUCAUUAGUUAAAUUAUAAAAAUACCCUUCAAAUCAUAUCAUACCAAUUUUGAAAUUACCUUUUAAAGAAAAAAAAAACAGUAAAUGCGAAGGUUAUGGCAGUAAACAAUUUACAAAAUUUUGACUAAACUCUAUGAAUGAAUAUUCAAAGUAGGGUCUUAUACUCUUAUUUAAUGAAAUUUUCUAUUAAAUGGGUACUAAUUCUAUUCAUGCUUAUAAUAAAUAAUAUAAAUAGAAUAAGAUGUUAAUGGAAAUUUACGACCUUCCAAAUGCUAUUAUAUUUCUCUUCUAGUUAAAUUUGAUGCUAAUAUAUAAUUUUGCAAGAUGUAAAACAAAAAAAUUGCAAUAGGGUGAUGAGUACAUGAGGGUGUCUAUACAAUUAAAUUAUUCAGAUAAAAUUAAAAUUAUAUGUGAUUAACAAAUGAUUCAUGAAAAAUAAGCAGCAAUUCGAUUAAUGAGUAAUUAAACAAUUUGUUCAGAUUAAGUUACAAUAUUGAGGCUUUCAGCUUGUGAAAAGUAUAUAAGAAUUUUAUGCUUUAUUUAACCUAAAUUGCUAAAACAUAAUAUUAUUCUUCGUUGAUUGUAAUUAACAAUCAUAAACAAAAUCACCUUUAAUUUUCAUUUUGGCAUAAUAUAUGCCCUAAAACAAAUAAACCUUGGGAUUUUUCGAGUUGAAUCGGAUUUUUCAAAUAUCAAAUCAAACUUUAUGUUGACUUUUUAAGGUAAAAUUGUAUAUAAUAGCAAACUAUUAAUUCGAAUUAAGUUUCGUAACCACAUUUUGAUUUAAUUGUAACCCGUAGCAAACUAUUGUCAUUCGCCACUCUCCUAAGUUUCUGUCUCCCUACUCUCGUUAGUCUCUCCCUCGCUUUUAUACAAACACAAAUUAUCAAUUGUAAUUGUGUUUUUAUAAAGCGAGAGAAAUUGUGUAUGUAUACAUAUAUCUUUGUUCCCCUCUCUCCCCUCACCCAAAUUUCGCUCAUCACUCUCACUCGUCUCUCUCACUUUAUACAAACGCAAUGUAUAUGCAUAUUCAAAUACAUAUAUUUCCGUUCUAUCCACUUAUAAUUAUACAAGUAUAGACCUUCAUUGUCUAGUUUUCAUUUGUCUUUCUCUCUUUAUACAAACACAAAUUAUACGAUUGAUUAUUUUGUAUAUGUAUACCGAAACAUAUUAAACAAUUGUUUCUUUUGUAUAGAUAUAACGAAAUAUACAUAUUAAUAGUCAUAGCAAACAUAAAGUUUGUUAUGGAGCGUAAUUAUGCAAACUAUAGCAAUAACAUACAAAUAUGAUUUUUAUGUUUGUUCUAUGUGAAAGUUUCUCAAUUUUUAAAUUAAACCAAACUAAUAAACUUCGAGGUUUUUUGGGUUUUUGAAUUUUUCCGAUAAAGUAUUCAUAGUUCGUACAAACAAUAAUUAAUUGUACUCCAAAUAUUACUUUAAUUCAAUCAAAAUACAACUAUAUGAGGUGUUUCUUAAGAAACUAACACAAAAUAUGAGAUGAAUGAUGAUACUAAAAUAUUCAAUAAAAAUAAUAAUAAAAUCGUAUAAAAUAAAUAUUGUGAAUUGAUAAGUCAUAAUGAAAAUGAUUAUAAUUUAAAAGUACUUAAUCAUGCUAAAAUAAAUCUAAUAAGUAUUAAUUACAUGAUUAACUAUUGAAAAUAAAUAAAUAAAUUUAGUUAUAUAUUUUAAAUGUUAAUAUCAAGCUCAUAAUUUGGGUAGAAGUUGAUUGUAGAGUCAACUUACCUUAUACUGCUUGAAGAGCCGCUUUAAAUUAGAGUUACAGUUGCUUUAAAUUAUACUAUUGUAGUUAGAGUUGAAUUAGGGCUUAAAUUGUAUAGCAUCAAAUUAGAGUUAGAAUUAGAGUUAGAGUUGAAUAAGGGCUUAAAUUGUUUAGCAUCAAAUUAGAGUUAGAGUUGGAGUUAAAUAACACUUAUAUAGCAUUAGACUUAUUAUAAAGGAAUAGUAAUUUUUAUAAGAAAAACUAUCAGCAACAUGGACGGCCGCUCAAAAAUUCCCUAUUUGCCUGCAGAUAUUAUCAACUCGAUCUUAUUACAGCUUCCUGUGAAAUCUCUUUCACGAUUCAAAAGUUGUUGUAAAUCAUGGCAUUGUUGUAUCGAUGAUGCCGACUUCAUCAAGUCACAUCUACGUAACUCAUCUGUUGAUAUUAGUCGUCAAAAAUUUGUCUUGGUUCAUUUGAAACCAUCUCCAAGUACAUACAAAUUUGAAAUUGUGUCAACGGAAGCAUCGAUUAAUGCUGAUUCAAAAGUUGUGUAUCUCAAUAUCCCAGAAUUCUUAAUUAACUAUAUUUUUUUACAAGUGUUUUCAUGUAGCGGCUUGGUCUUUAUGACCUCAUACAGUCCUGGCUAUAGCAUGAUAUUAUUCAAUCCUGCACUUGGAAAAUACAAACUCAUUCCGAAUUCUCUUUUCAGUUGAAAGAAAAGAAGUCGUUGUUCGGAUACAUCUCCAAUAUUUGGUUUUGCCUAUGAUUUUGUGGCUGAUGAUUACAAGGUUAUAUGUGCAUAUUACUUGAUAAACGUAUACUGUAACGUUGUUGAAUUAUACUCCGUUAAAAAUCAAUGUUGGAGAACAAUUCAAAAUACUUUUCCUGUUUCCCCUGAUUCUUAUUACCAGUACCUACACAGUAAUCAAGUUUCACUAAACAGUGUCAUUCACAGGAUGUCACACAACAGGGAAGUUAUAUCAUUCCAUCUAGUAGACGAAAAAUUUACUGUAACGGCAGUGCCAAAAGCAUGUGGGGAACAGCCAACGUUACAUGCAUUGGGGGAUGGCAUGUGCGUUUUCACAACGGUUGGCGAGGAAAGUUUGAUUUGGUCGCUGGAGAAAGAUAGGUGGAAUUGUAUCAACAAGUUUCAUACUUUACCCUCACUCAUUGGAAUGCCUAUAUGGCCAGAUGUUAAACCCUACACAGUAGGUCUCUUCCUAUUUGUUAAGGAGAAUGGGAACAUACUGUGGAGAAAUCAUGAUGGUCCUUUUAUUGAGUAUCAUGUGCGGAAAAAUGAAUAUACUGAGUUUCAGUCGAUACAAAUUCCGCCUUUGGUAUCAAGUAAGGCUUUGUACGUGGAAAGCUUAGUUUCUUUGAAGAUUCCGUGGGAUUGAUUAGGUAGCAAUAUAUUGAAGAAUAUUAAUCUUGUCAUGGUUUCUGUUUGAUUUGUGGAUGAUGGAUUUGAAUGUAAAAAUAUGAUGUUGAAUUUCUACACCACAAGUCAUUUUGUAUGACUAUCACCAUAACGACUCGUGUAUAUAUAGGCUAUAGUUAAUCCAUACUGGGGUGAUUAAUGUAAAAGCGUCGUCCAAUUUCUUCUGUUACCUUUCAGCGGAGAGAUUAUAUAAUCUGUCAACAAGAGUAGUUUGUUAACUAAUGAUGGGAAAGUCUAACAGGGAGCCAAUACUAACUCUAUGAUGAUGAAUUGAUGUUAACCAAGUUGUUGUGUCAUUUUUCAGUUCUUUCCCAGAAAACCUUUAUUUAUGUUAUCAUGUGAUUUGUGAUCCUAAAUUAUGCUUUAUACUCUUACAGCAACAGUAUGAAUUAAAGAGCUUACAAAAGAAGUGUCAUACAAGAUUGAAUCUUUAUUUUUUAUUUACAAGUUAAACGACUUGAUUUUGAAGAAGCCGUGGUAGUUUUUGGUGCAAAUUUCGGUUCAAAUCCUAGCAGAAAUAAUACUUGUGUUGGUGGGGAGGUAGUAUUUACCUAAUAGAAUUAGUCAUGUAAGAUGGUUCGGACUCGGACACCACUGUUAUCCCGAUGGAUUUUUUUUAUGUACAUCAUGGAGUUGGUGAUUAUAAGUUUGAUCACCUCACAAGUCUUCAUUUUGUCACCACAACUCAUCAAAAUUUCCAAACUCCAAUUUUCUUUGCAUUAUUCAUUAUUGUUAGACUUAGGGUAUAAAACGGUGUAGCAGUUUUGGGGAGGGGUGAGUUGAACAUAAAGUAUAAUUUGUAGAUGAAAACCGACUUGGAAUUUGCCAUUACAGUUUCACGCAACUAACUAACUGAGAAACAUACUAAAGUAACUAAAUUUUCCUAACGCAUGAACAAGAAAUGUGAGAGAAAUCAGAACAAGUUGAUGUAACUAACAGAGGGAGUUUCUUGAUGAAACAGAGCAUUCUUCUUCUUCUUUUGCAGAGGGACUUUCUUGAUGAACCUCAGAAACAGAGCAUGCUUAUUCUUAUUCUUUUGCAGAGGAAGUUUCUUGAUGCACCCCAGAAACAGAGUCUUCUUCUUUUGCAGAGGGAGUUUCUUGAUGAACCCCAGAAACAGAGUGUUCUUCUUCUUUUGCAGAGGGAGUUUCUUGAUGAACCCCAGAAACAGAGUAUUCUUCUUCUUUUGCAGAGGGAGUUUCUUGAUGAACCCCAGAAACAGAGUGUUCUUCUUCUUUUGCAGAGGGAGUUCCUUGAUGAACCCCAGAAACAGAGUGUUCUUCUUCUUUUGCAGAGGGAGUUCCUUGAUGAACCCCAGAAACAGAGUGUUCUUCUUCUUUUGCAGAGGGAGUUUCUUGAUGAACCAGAGCAUUCUUCUUCUGACUAACAGAAACAGAGCAUUCUUCUUCAAUUACAGCAGGCAAUUGGGAUUCUUUCAUGUCAUCAGAUGGAACUAGAGCUGAAUCUUGAUUUUCUUGACAUUGUGACGAAGAACUGACAGGAAAAUUGGCCUUCAUCCUAAUGUGACACAUAACAAAUUCGUCAUGAGCUGUAUGUUGAUAUUUUUGUUUCAACUCGUUUCGUUUACUUUCAGUAAGGCUAUAUUCUUUCAUAGUCCAGACAUAAUUGUCUUCAACUAAGCGGUAUUUUUUCAUAAUGCCAAUCUGUGAUCCUUCACUAUCUUCAAGUGAUUCAGCUGUGCCAUAUUCUUUCCAUACGCCGCCUGCAAUCGCCCUGCUGAAGUACUUACCAUCCUCUUUCUUUUUCUGUAACAGAGUGAAGACAUAAUGAUCAGUCUUAUUCGUCCCCAAUAUCUGAGAUACCUUCUCCUUGCCAUACAAAUCUGCAAGUCCAAAUACUUGCUCCUCAUAAGGCACAAAGGUAAAAGAUUUGAUAAGAAACUCCAUCAGUUGUUUAUUAGUAUAAUUCGCAGCCAUUUUUAUCCUAAAGAAAAGAAACAGAGUAUAUUUUUUGUUGAAGAAGAAGAGAGCGAGUGAAAAUAUUGUAGGAAGAAACAAAAUGAAUACUCCACCUUGCUAUUUAUAUAUACACACAUUUCUUUUUCUUUUUCUUUUUGUUAAUUGGAAUUUUCUUUUACACGUACCUAAUAUAGUGUUAAAUCUGAAAUAAUUUUUUACUUUUAUUGUUUUAAAAUAUAGUAAGUAAUGCUUCAAAUAAUAGUUAUAAUUUGACCAUUAUAAUCCUUUCUCCGUCUAUUUUAGUUGUCAUGAUGCAUUUUUCAAAUAUUAAUCUGAUUAUUUUUAAAAUUAAAUUAGAUUACAUUAAUUCGAUAUUUUAAGCUAAAAUUUAAAUUUAAACAAUUAUAUGAAAACUAUUGUAAAUUUUUUGCAUGUCAAUAUGAUUCGUGAAAUGUUAGUCAAACUUUUUAUCGUUUUUGACUCUAAACAUGCCAAUAUCAUAAGUUCAUAACACUAUUAGUGUUGAGUUGAGCUGAAAUUUGUUUUGAUUAUGGACAAAUAUCGACAAAAAGCCCUAGUCCUUAGCAGGUCACAAUUAGUUUUUUGAGUCUUUUUGUUCUUGAGUUAUAACCUACAUGUUUUUAUAUAGACUAGUUUUCGGGCACGCGCUUUGCGCGUGUAACCCAUGAGUGUAUUAUUUCUUAAAAGAUAAUACUACUUAAUAAUAAAAUAUGUCUAAUUGAAAUUUCUUACUUUGUUUUACUAUUAAUUGUGACACUUCAAUUUUUCGACCUCCAAGUGAAUGCAUCGAGAUAAUAAUAUGAAAAUUAAUAAAACAAACUUUGUUUGUAAUUCAAAAAAUAAGUUUGCAAAGCUAAAAGAAAAAAUAACAACUAUCUAAAUUAAAUUUCUUGAUAGUUUCGUUUUAUUGGUAGAAUAAUGCUAGAUAGUGUAAGAUUAACUUUGAGUGAAGGAAAACAAAACCUUUCAACUUUUUUAAUGAAUGUCUUUUAAGUAUUGUAUUAAAUUUUUAUCCACAAACACUUUAAACUAAUUAGUUAACUAUAAAUAUUUAAAAGUAAGAUGUAAAAAGUUUUUAUCAUUUAUAUUUUAAAAAUCAGGAUAUUUAUGAAUAACUACUUAUUUUUAUAUAAAAUUUAAUUCUGUCAUACAUAACUUAUCCACCAUUAAUCUAAUAUUAUAUGUUUCACCUUUUUUUCCAUAAAAAGAAAAGAAAAGAGUAAACAUCCUAUUUUAUCACAUUCAUCCUUAAAGAUGAAAAUUAAUGUAUAUGUAAAAAUUAUAAGUACGGAGAAAAGAAAAAAAAAGGUACACAUGAGCAAGAUAAUUAGGCAUUUCAUUUUGUUUGUCUCUAUAGUGAAAUUGAACAUUUGAGCAUACCAAAUACAAAUAUGAAUUUAGAGCAACUUGCUAAUAAAACAAGAAUUCAACUACAUGAAGAGAGACAAAAAAGUCUUAUUAUAAUUCUUACUACAAAUAAGUAUAAAACUAACACAUCAAGCUCCGAUGCUUCAGUAAUUGAAUUCUUAUCUAUUCUCGUAACUGCAUAAAGGAAUCUCACAACUUUCACCUCAAAUUGUGACAUUAUUUCACAUGUUUAGAGUUCCUACAUACAAGAAUUGUAGGAGUGGUAAAUAAAAGUUCUUCUUCAAAAAGUUAAAUUUAUAGAACAAAAUUAUGGAAACAUGAAAAGUCACAUGAAUUAUUGUUAAAAUAUAUAAAAAAAAAGAUAGAGAUGAAAUUUAAUUUUAAAGAUACAUAAAUCUACUUUAAUUUCUUACUAAUUACUCAUUUUUAUUUUUAUUUACAUUUAUGUUAGAAAUUUGAAAGGUCAAGAUUAUGAAAUGAGAAUAAGAAGAUUAUAUAUAUAUAUAUAUAAAAUUAUAUAAGUUUUAAUUUAUUAGAGGGGCAAAAUGGUAAUUCAACUUUUAAGUUUUGAGUUUCAUGCUUAUAAUAAUAUAUGAUUGAUGAUUAGAGUAUUGUGUUUAAGUUAAUUCCUAAGAUUAUAUAGCUGUAAUCUAAAGGCCACUUGAGUUUAGUGGAGUUUAUUCUUUCGAUAAAUUCUAUGAGAAAAGGUUGUGAAUUUUUACGCCGUUGAGUAAAGAGUUUUUCACGGUAACAUUAAGUUAUGGUGACUGUAUCUUGUCUAUCAACCUAUAAUAAUGCAACUAACUCUUGACGAUAACUAUGACUUUGUUGUGUAGAAAUUCACCUAUCACAUUUUUACAGAAAAAUUGAUCCACAUCAAAUUCAAAUCUUACUCCUAUAUACCAUUAUAUAUUCACAAAUCAAUUAAAGAAAAGGACAACAUAAAUUAUGUAAGCAUACUUCAACAGAAACAAUAGCAAUGUUCUUCAAUUAAUACUAGAAAGUAGAAACUGCUAUCUAAUAAACACAUAUUUGGAAAACUAGAAACUCUAUAUAUCAUUAUGUUGGAAUUUGUUAAUCCCACAGAAUCUUCAAGAAAACUAAACUUUUCACAUACAACAAAGCCUUCUUUGCAAUAAAAUCCCCAACUUGUGUCACCUUAGAUUCAGUAUAUUCAUUUUUUCGUACGUCAUACUCGAUAAAAAGAAGCUCGAGCUUUCUCCAUAAUAUGUUCCCAUUGUCCUUAACAGACAUGAAGUUACCUGCGAAUGACUAGGCUUUCCGAUAAGUGAGACUAAAGUAGCAAACUUGUCGAUACAAUUCCAGACAGUUUUACUAUCUUUCUCCAGCGACCAAAUCAAAAUUUUGUCUCCAACAGUUGCCAGAACACAGACGCGAUCACCCAAUGCACAUAAUGUCGGUUUUAUCCCAUAUGUAUUGUCCAGUUAUAUGCUAUUUUGUGAAUAACACCGUUUAUGAAACUUGAUCAUGGUAUAUGUGCGGUGGCAAAGGAUUAGAGGGACCAGGAAAAUAUUGUGAAUUGUUCUCCAACAUUGAUUUUUAACGGAGUAUACUUCAACGAAGUAACGUGGAUGCCUUAGACUAUCGUUUUUCAAGUACAGAUGUACACAUAAAACUUUGUUAUCUUGGGUCAUAAAAUCAUAGGCAAAAACCAAAUACUGGAGAUGUCGAUAAAGAAUUAAAAUACUUUUAACUGAUAAGAGAAUUUGGAAUGAGUUUGUAAUAUUAUAGAAACACCAAGCAACUGAAUGAAAGCAUUUCAAUAUAUUUUUAGUUACUACAGAAUCCUGCGAUAUUGGGCUGCUCACAAUUAGUUUAGCAUUUGGGCUAUAUACUUGUAAGAUAGAUAAAAGUUGUCAACACAUUGCUUCAUACAACUCUACCACAACUAUCAACUGUGUAUUCCAUUCACAACUAUCAUGCAACGAGCCAUAGUAAGGAAAAAAAGUAGCAGCACAAUUCGUUGACUAUCUGAAUUUUUAUCUUAUUGGUAAACGUUCGAUUUUCAAUCUCCCAUCUCAAUGGGGGCCCUAAUUGUAUGUCAUUCCAGAUAACCAAUGUUUAAAUUAAAAACAAAAAAAAUUCAAAACGACAUAAAAAAUCUAAUAAGUUUAACUUUACCCUGCCCUGCCCUGUCCUUGCUGAAUUCAUGUUUUUCUAGGAAUCAUGGCCUUCAACCAACUCAAUCUUUUAUCCAUUUUCAUUGUCACAAAUGUUUCUCUCCAAUUUUUGUGUUCAAACAAGUCCAUAGCAGCAUUAUAUAGCCUCCGAUCAACUCCUGGUGUAUCGUUUAGAGCCACAACACAGCUAGCUAUUGAAUACGGAUCAUCUUUCUGAUUCUGAUUCUGAUCCAUGUCACUGCUCUUUGAUCGUUUUGGAUUGUUAGGACCAACACUACUCCUCUUAUUGGAACCGGAUUUUGGUGGCUCUGUCAAUUUACGUUUGUUUCGUUCGCUAGGGUUGCUUCGAGGAUACAUAGAAGAAACAGAUAAUUCCCCGGUUGCUUUUGGUCUCGUAAAAAUAUGACACAACUCCUUGUAUAUAGGGCAGCCAUAUUUUCUAUAUGGUGCUAUCUCAGGAUGUACCUGCAAGAUACUAUUUCAUAAGACACUUAAAUUGAGACGGAGGGAAUAAAAAAGGAAGUCAAGACAAAACCUCUAUGUACUCAGCCCACACGCUAUCAUCAACGACAACCAUCUUUUUCCGACUAUUCCAACCAAAUCCACCGUGGUUGUAAAGUGGCCUCACGAUUCGAUAACGUUUUCUCAAUAUAGUCAGAUGUUUCUUCAGCUCUGCCUUAUCAAAAUCCCAACCGCUACAUCUAUUUAAGUCCUUAACAACAUUUUCCCAUGCUUGAUCAUGAAAAUUACUUGGCAUUACAUCCAGAUGAUAUUUCAUUUCCUCUACCAAUGAACCAACAAACAUUUUUUCUAUUCGCGGAGGCCAAUUAGGACUUGACCAGACAUCUUUAGCAGGAUCAUGGACGCGACGACGAACCAUCUACAAAAAUUAUAAUACCAAUUUUUAGUAAUACAAGGAUACAUACACAGAGGCAGAGCCAGAACUAGGAGUUCAAGGGUUCUGGAUUUUUUAAUCCACAACUCUAGCCAGAAAAGCAUAUCCACAUCCCCUUCCGUACCACUGAGUCAUCAAUCAAUUUUGUUAGGGGUUUACAAAUUAGUAUACAUAUAUAGUUUUAUUUAAUUUUCUAUUCCAAAUAUAGGAUGUACAAAGAGGCUUACUGGGUUCGUCCGAACCUACGAAUCCCAACUUAGCUCUGCCUAUAUAAAUACACUUAUUUCUAUGCAUCAAACACGAAAAAAUAAGUAAGAAAUUUACUUAUAUAUUCAACAUUUUCAUCUGAUAAAAAUAAUAAAAUGGUGAGAAGAAAGGGAAAAAUGACGAACCUUGAUGAAAUGAGAGGAGACGUGGCUCGUCAAAACCCUAGAUUACAGUUACUGUGUUGUAACUAAGGUAGGAGUUUGUAUUUACAACUUUUUAAAUUAAACUUGGGCGCCACUUUUCCUUCUUAAAUGGAGUACUAAGUAAACAAAAUAUUUACAACUCUCAAAAACAUUUUCCUUGAUCUACUUCCUUAAUUGGCCAUUUUGUUUUAUAUAAGUAAAAUAGUUGAAAAUAGGGAUAAUGCCCAAGUACCCCUCAACCUACGUCCAAAAUCCAAGAGACACACUUAUACUAUACUAAGUUCCUAUUAACCUCCUGAAUUUAUUUUAUAAGUAGUUUUCUACCACUUUUCAGCCUACGUGGAACUAAUUUGAAAAAAAAAGACAACCAUCAUUGGGCCCACAAGAUAGUGUCACGUAGACAAAAAAGGGGCAGAAAAUUAUUUAAAAAAUAAGUUCAGGAGGGUAAUAGGACCUCCUUAGUAUAGUAUAAGUGUGUCUCUGAGAUUUCGAGCAUAGGUUGAGGGUACUUGUGCAUUAUCACUUAAAAAUAUAAAAAUGUUAAUAAUUUUCUCUUUUGUCAAUGAGUUGGUAAAAUGGUCAUUAUUGUUACUUCAUGGUCAAAAACGUAUUUUUUUUCAAAUAGAUAUAUUAUUUCAUUUUUUAUAAUAAUAUUUUUUUAUUAGUAAAUAUUUAUCCUACUUCAAGUCAAAAAGAUUAAGAAAUAUAAAUAUAAAAAUUUAUAUUUUCACUAAAAACGCAUUUAAGACAUACUAAAAAAAUUAACAAAGUAAAAUCGAGAUCAUUUGUUAGGUUGAACCUUCGAUUUUCAACCUAUUUUUUAUAGUGUUGGUAGGUAUCAUAUUUGCAACAGCAUGGAACAGUAUAGACGUCUUAGUUUUAUUAAAAUUGAAAAUUCGAUUAAUACGUGUUUUCUGAAAAAAUAAAAAAAAUGAAUAAUGAUGAGUUAAUUUACUAUUGAUAUUACAGUGUGUUUAAUAACGUGCAAGAAAGAAUUUAGACUGGUUAUAGUGACAAAUUCUUUUAAACCAAAGUGUUAUUCAGUACCUUUAUAUUAAACAUGUCAUCUCUGACACAUUCAUAUUCAAGAAAAAAAAUAUAACGCAACAAUUGACAUUGAAUUUUUAUGUUUUGUAUUUCAUAAAAAAAUCAAAUGGUGUUUCUUGCAGAAAUUGUUGGAACCUAUCUUGACUAAGGAAGGACAACAGAUCAGCGAACACGUUCAUGUUAGUACAUGAAGACCAAUAAGUGUGUAUCUUCUUCUCCUAUAAAAUUGGUAAUACUAAAUUAAGAUUUUUAACGAAAUAUAUAAUUUCAUACAAAUAUCAUUCAUACACUGCCAUAUCAACGGACAACAACAUCAAUUCAUACACAAAGCAUAAAAUGAAAUUCUAAUGUACUUUCUUACACAAAUCAUACAACACUAAUACAUCAGUGCAUAUCUCAGUUCAUACAUCAUUUAUACACAAUUCAUACAAACUAAUACAUCAAUUCACACAGAAAUCAUACAAUAUUAAUACAAAUUAUGAUUAUUAAAAAUCUACUCUGUAACUUUCAAACUACAAAAUAAUACUCAUACAAUUCUAAUACGUCAAUUCAUACAUCAAAUUUAUAUAUAAAUUAUACAAUAGUAAUACAUAUUAAAAUUGUCAGUGACUAUCAAACUAAUAAAUUUUACUCAGACAAUACUAUUAUAUCAAUCCUACAUAAUUCAUAGAAUAUUAAUACAUAAUAGGAUUGUCAAACAAAAUAAAAAACUAUACUCACAUACAUAUAACAAUUUACCCAAAUUUUUAAUUAAGCAUUUUACUUACCUUAACCACUUUUUGACUUUCUUGAAAGUUUGUAUCUCUAACUCUGUCUUUUUUGAUGAUGUUCUUGUUGAUUGACCAAGUUCAACAUUUGUUGAUUUUUUCUUUUUUAUUUCAUCAACAAAGUCAGAAUCAGAUUCUGAAGAGGUUUGAAUAACUUUUCCUUCCUCCUCUUCCCUUUCGCUAGAGAUCCUCUUUCCUUUGCCUCAUUUUUUUUGUUUUUUUGAACCUUCGAUUUAACAGAACAACUACCUGUCUCUCUUUUAGCGGAAUUGUGCAGUGGAGUUUGAGUCAAAAUAUUCAACGAAGGAACAUGAAAUUCAUCAGAUGAUGUCCCCUCAACAAAUCUUGAACUUUUACGGAUUGUUCCACUAACUUUCUUCGACAUUGUAUAAGAACUUAAAAGAAAAUAUUUUUGAAAUCAACGCUCAAAUAUUGUUCAGUAGUGUUGUGGAAGAAAAAUUGUGGAUCUUGAGUUGUGGGAAUUGGGGAAGAUUGUGUGGAUAGUGCUUCAAGACGUGAGACGUGUUGGGCAAGAAGAAUAAUGAUGGUGUAUAUACCGACUGGCCUGGUGAUGGGGGUGGCUUGUGAUUGGCUAACGGUAAAGUAGGAAGGUGAUAAAAUCAAAUCCCUUAAAAUAUAUAAUUUAUUUUUUAUUUUCAAAAAGGUAACUAUAAACUAAUAAUAUUAAUUUAGUAUUUAAUUUCAAAAAGGUAAUAGUAAACUAUUAAUACUUAAUUAGUUUAAAAUUUUAAAGACUUUGUUUUAAAAAAGAUAACUGUAAAAUUAAAAAUAAAAAUUUAAACAUAUUAAUUAGUAUUUAAAUUAGAUUAUAUUUUAUUUUUAAUUAAAUAUAUUUUUAAUUGAUAUGCUAUAACUCGAUAAUAAUAUGCUAUAAGUGAUGAUUUUUAAAAAGUAUGUUUAUAACUCGAUAUAUAUAGCCUUAAAUGUGUAUAGGGUGUGAUUUUUAUAUUUUUUUUUGUUUUCCAAAAAUAAAACUAUUUUUCCAAAAAAAAAAAUUAUCCCCCCCCCCCAACCUUCCACCAACCUAUCCCCAAAUUUUUUUGUUUUCUCAAAAACAAAAAAAAUUUACCCCCUCCCCAGGGCACCCCCCCCCAAUCCCCUACACCUUCCACAAACCUAUCCCUAAUUUUCAAAAAAAAAAAUCUGUUUUUAAUUAAAAAAUAAAUAAAUUACGCCCACCUUCCAACAACCUACCCUUAAACUUUGUUUUAGUUAUUCAAAAUAAAUUUAAAAAAAUCUGAUUUUUUUUAAAAAAAAAAAUUUACCCCCUCCCCCUCUCCACCAAUCGAUCUCUAAAUUUUUUCUUUUUUGAAAAUCUGUUUCAUUUCAAUUAUAUGAGCUGAAUAUGGACUCUCAUGUUAACUCAUUUUGUCCACAUUUGUAUGAGGUUAAAUAAGUUGAAGACCGUACUAACCCAUUUAGAAAAGGAAAGAAAAUAUGUGUGAUCCUUUUAAUUUAAUAUGGGCAAAAUAAUUUUAUUUCACUUAUAAGUGCUGAAAUUGUCACCCCUAGUUGAUUAUAAAGGUGACACUACACCAGAAACAACUUUAUCGACAACUAAUUAGCGAUAACAAUUUAAUUAUUGUUAAAUAUGUAUUUUUAAAGGUAAUUUAAACUAUUUAUAAAUGUUAUUAAAGCCUAUAGCGAUAUUGAAUCCGAUAACAUUAGUAAAAAAAUUAUAACACUUUACAUUAAUGUGUAUAUUUAUUAUUGCUAAAGUUAUUUUUGUUAUAGUGUAAAAGGUUAUACUAGAAUUAGUCUCUUUGGAUUGUAGAAUUGUAACCUAAACAUCACUUGAGUUUGGUGGAGUUUUUUAGGCCAAUCCUGUGAGGGUAUCGUGAUUUUUACUGCUGAGCGAAGAAAUUAACACGACAGAAUUUCGUUUUUUCUUACUAGUAGGGGAAGUCCGUGCUAUGUACGUGCCCAACAUGAACUAGUAAAUGAAUAAGUGGGUGUAGACAUCAUCGAACUAUAACAAAGAUAUUUACAUACCAUAACUUUUUGUUGGUGAAAAUAUAUAACAAGAUUAUAAAUUACAAUUGAAAAUAAAAAUCUCUUCUGGUUGAUGUGUGAAUAUCUAGCUCUUAGCCUAAAUUAUUAUCUAUUCAUUUUUUGUCAUUUAAAAAUUUUCAACUAUAAUUUAUUGUGUAUAUAAUACCAACAAUUUUAAAGAGAUUUAAGCCCAGCAUAAUCUGCACAAAUUCAGUAGUAUCACUCUUGAUUAGUUGAAGAGUUUAAAAGUCCACAAAAUGAAUAUCUUUCCUUCAACAUAUAAUUACUCUCUUAUAUAUAGUUGAAGACUUGAAAUAUUUUUAGCUCAACUCUCUCUUUCACUAAUGUAAUCUCAAUAUAAACACAAUACAAUACUACUCAUCCUUUUUACCCUAUAUUUUCUUGUUCAUCACUUGUUGUACACAACAUAGAGAAGACCCUCGGUAUUUAUAGGGGGGGGGGGGGAAUCUUUCUUGCAAUAAAUAGAAAGACAACUAAUAGUAAAUUUGCUAAAUGAAUAACACAAACGCUACAACACAUAUAAAUAGAAUGAUGGUGAAAUGAAGAGUUAGUCAUUAUAAGAAGUACCAAUCAGUAUAACCACAUUCUUCCACAGAGUAAAAAAGCACAAAUUUAACGUCCAUCAAUGAACAUAACAUGAUACAUAAUGUGACAUAUGAUAUAUUUUCAUUUAUUAUAAUGUCACACUAAUAUUUUAUUAUAUAAUUAUAAACAUAUUUUUUAUAAAAUUAAUGCAAGGGACCCUGUGUAAAAUUGAGUGCUCUCGAUGGUCUGUCUAUUCAUGAAAAAAACAUCAUUUAACAUGAGGAAUAAGUAAUUAGAUUGUUCAAUAAUGUUGUUGGCAUUAGUUAGUUAGGUUAUUCAAAGUAAUGUAUAUGUGGCAUCGCUAUCUUUUAAAAAGUAACAAAGGUAAGACAUUAAUUUCUUGUGUGGCAUCGUUAUCUCUACAAAGGUAAGACAUUAGUUUCUUGUUCUUUGAUGGGUCAUCGUGAUUAAGGAUGGCAAUGGAGUUGUGCAGGUAUGGAUUUAAAGGCUAUGUGAAGUGGGAUGGGUCAAUCUCUAAGCGGGUGUGGGGUGGGGCAGAGCCUUGAUUUUUUCAAAAGGAAAAUUUUAUAUAUGGCAAACGUAAUGUAUGAAAUAAUAUUAUAUGGGCAUAGUGUACAUAUUUACAUUCUAUGUCUUUAUUUUAGCUUGUAUGUAUCUUUUAAUUUGUAUAAAACAUUUUUUUUAUUUUUAAUUUAUUUAUAUUUUACUUUUUCAUUGAAUGGUAACUGUAACGCUAAAUACGAUAACAAACAUUUACACAAUUCCAUGAUUUUGAGUUAACCGUUCAAAAUAAAAUAUUUCUCCAAAAAAGAAAAUGGAAAAAUGCACAAGUACCCCGCCUCUCCCCCCAAACCUAUACCCGAAAUCUCAGAGACAUACUUAUAUUUUACUAAGGUUCUAUUUUCCCCCAAAACUUAUUUUAUAAAUAAUUUUCUACCUCUUUUCGGCAUACGUGGCACUAUCUUGUGGGCCUAGCGCGUGCUGACAUUUUUUCAAGCUAGUGUUACGUAGGUCGAAAAGGGAUAGAAAAUAUUUUAUAAAAUAAAUCCGGAGGGAGGUGGGGGUGAGGGGGUAAAUAGGACCUUAGUAUAGUAUAAAUGUGUCUCUUGGAUUUCGGGCAUAGGUUGGGGGGGGGGGGGUUAGUACCGCGAAUUUCGCAUUAUUGAUGACUUUCUGAAUUGUCAUUUGAUCAUUUUUUUUAAUCUCAAUUACACAGAUUAUUCAACUUGAACUUGUUUACGUUUUGCCAUAUAUCCUACAUUGACCCCAUAAUCCUGAGUUAGCUCAAUUAAAAACGAAGGUGGAUUAUCAACAAUAUUAUCAUGUAAUGGCAUACCUCUUAUAAUCCUCAUAGAUGAAGAUGAAUUUUCCAUUCUAAUUUUGAAGAACUUAUAAUCUGAUAAGAAAAAAGGAUUUUUUUUUUUAAAAAAAAAUGAAAAACUAAGAAGCAAGAGGUGGUGAUCUCAUUAAUUAUGGUAAAAAAUGAAAUUAUAAUUACCAAGAGUAAAUAUAAUAAACUAUACCCUUAUUAACUAAUUAGUUAGAGAUAUUUGUCAUCCCACGUAAUUAAUUUUCUCUUUUUGGAAAUUAUGUGAUCGGGGGUUCUCCUCCAGUAUUGCCUUAGAUGGCUGCACAUUUGUUUUUUUACUUUUUAAAAUUGGGAUUUGGUUUGAGUAUCUUUUAAAUUAUUGAUUAAAUUUUUCUAAGAGUACACAUUUAAAAGGAAAAAGAAAAUGUUCAAGAGUGUGUUUGGUACGAAGGAAAAUAUUUUUUGAAAAAUGUUUUUCAAUUUUCUCAAGUUUGGUUGGAAUAAAAGUUUUGGAAAAUGUUUUCCAAAAGAACUCAUUUUCCUUAAAAUUAAGGAAAAUGACUUUCCUUAAAAAAUUAUUGAAAACAUUUUCCAAAACUCUCCUUUAAUUUCAAACUGCAUUUUUUUUUGAAAAAUAUCAAUUUAAAAAAAUAUUUUCAAUUUUAAAAUUUUAUUUAUUUACAGGAUCCCUCCCCCACCCACCCUCAACCCCCUAAAAUAUUAAUUUCAUUCAUAAAUCAAACACACGGAAAAUAUUUUCUACUCACCAACUAAAUAUGAGAAAAUAAAUCCAAAAUCUACUUGUUUUCCCGGAAAAUAUUUUUUAGGAAAACAUUUUCCAUGCAAAAUAUUUUCCUUUAUACCAAACACACCCCAAAUUUGUCCAGGUUUUCACUUUCUAAAAUGAUAUUUUAUCAAUUUUGCUAGCUAAUAGCCUAUAAAAUAGUUUUAAAUCAAAUGUUUAAUUAUUUUGACAAUAAUAAUGGUGAUUUAGAUAAUUUUAAAAUAUUUUUAUAUGUAAAUAAUAAAAUAAAAUAGAAACUUAAGUCGGCGAGGUGGAGCGGGUUUAUUUGGGGCAGGGAGGGUUAAUAGGAAAACAUGAUAUGAGGGGCAGCCCGCUGUGCUUAGAAUUUUGUGGGUUUGACAAAAUUUGCCCCAAAUUACAAAGAAAGGGAAAUAGGUUCUGCUGAAAACUACCUCUUCAAAUCCUUGACAAACCUCGAAAUCAGAAUAAGGAGAAAGAGAUCACACCGGUUCGGGCUCGAAAUCUACACAAGUGUAAAAGCAACGGGUGAGUACCAACAACACAGUAUUCAGCAAGCAACCUAAUAAACAAAGCAUCUAGCUAGAAAUUGAGUAUCCUUACACAUCGAACUUCCUCAAACUACAACCUGCACAAAACUCAGUCCAACAUCAAAGGCGUAUUCAGGAUUUCGAAAGGAUGGCUGCAUUAUUACGAAAAUUUGCAUCUCAAAUAUAAAUUUGACUGAUUUUACCUUUAUAUUCUUAAUACUUGAACCGUUAAAUUUUAAAGUUACAGUCCAACAUAUAAUACUACUAGUUUUAAAAGUUAAUAUACACAUUUGAUUUAAUUAUCACUAGGCGGAACAAAUUUUCAUCAACUUUAUAUCAAAUCACUAGACAGAAUCAUUUUCUAUCGGUUAUAUAUCGCUAGCCAUAUCCAUUUCCCAUCGAUUUUAUAUCACUAACCGGAACCAUUUUCCAUCAACUUUAUAUUACUAGCCGGAACCAUUUUCCAUCAACUUUAUAUCACUCGUCGACAAUGACCUCGGCUUCACAAACACUUAUCGAAAAUGACCUCCGCAACAAGUUAUCACUUGUGUUCAUGAUCAAUGCACACAAGUAAUAUCACACCACAUGGAAGAAACAACAAUUCAUGCAAUUCAAAUUCACAUUCAUGCUAUCAAACAUUUCAUCAAUAAAUCAAUAAGGAUUACAACAAGACAAUCAUCAUAUUUAUCACUUAACUUUUUUAAUUUCAACCCCUUAUUUUUUAAUUAAGAUUUACCAAAUGUAUAAUUAUCCGUUCACCUCAUUUUCAUUACUCACAACACACAAACAACGAAGGGGAUACACGAAUUCUACUAGAAUACAAAGUUUAGGACAUCACUUGCCUUAAAUCAAUCAAAAAUCACUUCAAAGAUUUGAGUCUUCACCUGAAUCAAUUUCAAAGCCACAUAAUUUUUACACAAGCAAGUAUUCACCUGAAAACAACAACACCCACAUCAAUUGCUUAGAAAAAUGGGUCAAUCAACUCAAAACUCAAUUUCAAAAAAAAGGUUAUUUGAUUCCGAAAUUUAAUACUUGAAAAUAUGACCAUUUACCAGUCAAAAUCUCAUAUUUUGACGUUAAAUACCAUAAAUAAUCAUAGGAAAAUGAAGACUUAGGGUCACGAAAGCUUACCCAAAAAAUUUAGCAGAAUAAAACCUUUCCAAAAUCGCCAUCAAAGAUUCUCCAAGCUCAAAAAUAAAAAAAAAUGGGGCUUUAACUCCAAAAAUGACAAUUCAAAACCCCUUUCAAGAGUCGCAAUUUGCGAACCCCGCUAAAAGUUCGAAUACGCUUAAGCAAAGUCUUCUUCGCUUAAUUAGUGAAGGUCGUUUAAGCGACGGUUACUUCUCAUAAGCGAAGCCUAUAGCACCAAAAACAUAGUCAAGUCUCAAAACAUCGAAAGGGUCCUCGUGAUUUGUUUGGAACUCUAAGCAAAUAAAUCAUAUAUGCAAAUUAAUUAUACUCGACUAACUAGACUCAAUGGAACCGCCAAACACCAAUUCGAGGUCUCCUUGACCCAAUAAGUGUGAAAACUAUAAAAAAAAAAAAAAAAAAAAAAAAAACUAACUCAACGCCUAAAAGGCUAAAAAGAUCUCGGGACCUCUCAAAAGUCAACAAAGAUCUCAUGUAGAAAUAAAAUCAUCCCCUAAAUCCAACGAAACUCUAGAAAUUCCGAUCUGAGCAUCUGAACCCAGAAUGUUGAUUAAAGUCUACCCAAAGGCUAAAAUUCCACAAAUUCAUAACUUAGGACCUCAAUUUCUCAAAAAGAUACUUAAUAUGAAACCGACAUGUCUCACAAAUCAGAUUUCAUCUUUUGAAACUGAUGGGAUCGAUGAAAUUUCAUUCCCACACUCAAAACUCUAAAAGACGUCGAAAACCACAUUUUUAAUUAAUAACCCAGCCUUUCAAACUCAAAAUUUGCCAAAUCUCAACUUCAAACUCAAAGUCCAAAACAACUUCCAAAACUCAUCACAGAAAACUCCGGGUCAAUAUCAAGAGGGCAAAACGGUAAAUUUUACGAAAACAAAAUAUGAUCAAGCGGGUCAUUACAUUAUUGUUGUACUCAAAACUAAUCGAAACCGGUUGUAUGAAUCCUCAAUAAUCAAUAUCAUAAACAAGUUGUUUGUAGAUGUAACUGUAACAGUAAAUUUACAUGUCUUUGAAAAGAUUGUUGAAAAUAAAAGAGUCCAACUUUCAUGACAUAUUGCAGGAUAUGUAGCUUUCCAAACACAUUAUUAUUGACAAUGAGGAACAAGUAAUAAGGCUGUUCAAUAUUGUUGGCGUUAGUUAGGUAGGUUAUCAUCGAGUGAGAGCUUUCGUUAUAUGAUUUAGCAGCCAUCAUGUUAUAUUUUUUGUAGAUAAUUAAAAUCGAGUAACAUGGCUUCACAUGGCAUCGCUAUCUUCUACAAAAGGUAACACAUCAAUUUCUUGUGUGUUUGAUACAUAUUAUGUGUAUACAUUUCAACUCUUGUGUGUAGUAUACAUAAUUCGCGUACUAAAAAAGUAAUGAUUUCGGUUAAACUUAAAGGAAUCCGUAAUGCGGAUAUCAGUAAGGGGUCCCUACUAGUAAUUACUAGCUAUGACAUAUUUAUUAGUAAUGUACUUCAUUCAUUUUUAAAUAAUUGUUACAUUUUGCUUCUUGAAAGUUAGUUUGAUUAAUUUUUAAAGCUUAAAUUAGAUUAAAUUAAUGUGAUAUUUUAAAAUUGAAUUUAAAUACUCAAAAAAUUAUAUUAAAAGUACUAUAAGCUAUAAUUUUUCUCAAAUCAAUAUAUGAUGAAAAACACCUUAAAAUUUUGGUCAAAGUUCAUUUGACUCUCAAAAAGGAAAUUGUGACAAGUACUUAGAAUGAAGGUAGUAUUAUUUUAAGGCAAUCAGUAAUGCACACACUAUACAAAAAAAAUGAUAUUUAGCGAUAAUUAAUUAAUUACAAUAACUUAACUAUUGCUAGAUACAUUAUUUUAGAGACAAUUAACACUCUUUGUAAAUGUCUUUCAAGUCUUUAACAAUAUUGAAUUUAAAGACAAUUAACUAAUAUUAAUAAAGACUUUAACACUCUUACUAAAAUGCAUGUUUAUUGCCGCUAAAAACUGUUUUUAUUGUAGUGACAGGUAAUCGACUAGAGUUAUCUAGGGGUUUAAUUAUGUAUGCAAGUACGUAUUAACUAAAUAUGUAUUAGUUUAUGCAAGUAUUAGUAAUGCAAAGUUUUGUUAUUCCUGUAUUAGUUAUUCCACCUUUUAUCCUACAUAAGAUAAUACAUAGGUUCCUCAUAUCUCUUAAUUAUACAUUUGUUAGCUAUGUGGUUUCUAAAUUGCAAGCUAAUCACCUAUAACACCCCAAUUUUUUUAAGCUAUGACCCCAACCAUUCUUCAUUUGUGUGUAAGGUCGGAUUGGGUGAUUCUUAUAUUGUUCUUAGAUAAUAAGAUCAAUUCUUUAGUGUGAGAAUGCAUUUAGAUAUAAAUUAAGGUAACUAGAAUCUCCUAGCACAAAGUUGAGUUGAAAGUUUCCUUACCGAUUAAGUUUUGAUAUAAAACUCUACUUAGAUCAACUUCAAACAAUCAUAUAUCUCCGCACAUAAUGAAUUAUGUGUCCUAUGACCUACCAAAUUAAAGUUCUAUGUAUCCUCUUUUCAAAGUCACUAAGUUUUUUCUCAUUUCAAGUUCAAACUAAAAAGUUAUGACCGUUUUACCAAAGACUAUCACAACACAUUUCUAAGUUAGGGACCUACGAAUUCCUUCUACUGGUUGUUGAAACCUCUACGAGCCAUAGGUUGGACCUAUAUAAUUAAUAUUUGAGCCUUGAGAUUCAAUAUGAAUUCUAGGGAUGGAAUCUAUCGCCCACAUAAACUUCUAUAUAACUCAUAGUUUAGAGCUUUAAUUCAGUAUGAAAUCCACGGAUGAGAUAUAUGGUCCGUAGAGAAAACUAUCAAUUAUAGAUUACCCUGUGGAAGGUUUAAGUCAGCUUUUUAAGAGGGGUAAUUCAGUCUUUUCACAUUCCUUCUAAGUUUAAACCUCAAAUUUUUUGCACCUAAAUAAGGUUCUAAAUAAUAUUAAUCAAUCUUAUUACUCUCAUUAACGCUUUCAAGUCUUAGAUCAUGGAUCCAAGGGAGAAAGCUAGGCUUUGCAAGUGUUCUUUUAGUUUCGUCAAGAACUUUAUUUUUCUAGAUAUGUAAGGCUAAUCGUAGUGAUAAACUAAUUUUGUCCUCAACGAUAACCAUCUAAAUUCAUCCUGAAAUAAUUUAAUCUAGGGUUAUACCCUUGUUUCGAGAAUUUUUUAUAUGAUUUAUGCUAUCAAAUUCUGAGCUCUAAUAUGAGUUUCUAUAUAUUCUGCAUUGAGAUCAUGGAGUUGUUGUUCAUGUUUAUAUUCCACAUGAUCAUUGUUUACUGAAUUUUCAUUGAGAAUCUUUUGAUCAAACAUUUUUCCUUAAAUUGAUUUUGAGAAUUUAAAAGUGAGUUCAAGAGUAAAGUUUAAAGUAUAACUUUUCGUAGUAUUUAAGAGAACUAAACAACUGUCAAAUGUAUCAAAGUGCACUAAUUUCAUGAAAGAAUAAGAGUUUUCAGACAGAGUUAUUGCAAAGCAGUUACCUCUUCAAGAGGCCCUUUUGAGAAUAUAUUUCAAUCUAGAGAGAAUAUUUUUGCUUGAGCAAUAUUGAGUUAUAUAUUUUGGAAUCAAUAUUGAGCACCGAUAUGGAGAAGAGUUCAAACAACUCAUAUUUUUCAUAAAACACGUAGCUAACGUGGGCUAGAAUCACACCAAAUUUCAGGCGACUCCCUGAUGCCUUUGAGUAGGACUUUAUAGUGGAUCCAUGAGUGGAGUUUGUUUUAUACCUCAACAAUGUAUGAGACAAGUUUGGCAUCCUGAGAGAUGUUGUAUCACCACAACGCUCAUAAUGAUGGUUCAGUUAGAGAAACUCUCUAAUAAAGUAAAGAGUACCUUUUAUUCUAAUUCUAUUAUACUUUUACAUACGUUUCAACGAGUUAUCAUAUCUUUACUUGUGAAGUUUUAGAUGAUUUUAUCUCUAUUUAUGCUUUGAAUUUAAUUGAGAAUUAUUUCAGUCUCUUUGGUUCAGUUUAAUUAUUUAUCUUCAAUUAUAUUACAUAUUAGUACGUACGAUGUACUAAUGUCAUUCGACCCGCAUCUUUUUAUGAUCAGAUAUAUGUCUUCAGAAUCAUCAAUAGGCAUUUCGUUGAGAUCACUUUGCAUUCCUUGACAACUUUUGGUGAGCCCUCUUUACAUUCUGGCGGACUCCUUUUUUGUUUUUUUCAGUUAAGUAGUUUUGAGUUGUCGUAGGUCAUGUAACAACAUCCAUGCUGAAAUAAAAAGGCUUGAUAGAUAGAUAGUGUUGAGUGUUCUUUCAGUAUUUCCUUUUCAAACUAUUUUUGCAAAUUAUUACUGUUUUUAGAUCAUUUUGAAAUUGUUUGAGUUGAGAAGUUUUGAGACUAUUAAUUUAAAUCUAUUUUAAAAGCUUUUAUCCGCUUGAGUCAAUCUCAAGCUAAAUAGUCAAUCAGAUUAAGUAUUCGCUUGGGAACUAGUAAUGAUUUUCGAGUAUCGGUCGCAUCCAAGUGUAUGCUCGAGGCGUGAGAUCAUCAUAUAAUUUUAUAUACGAAUAACUUACCUCUUAACCCACUAGAAAAUAUGUUUAUCAAUUUUAUAACAUUUAAUAUUUGCAUAACUUACCUUCAAACUAGACAACAACGUCCUCGAGAGAAUUAACACAUAAGAAACUCCAUAAGAAUGUAUGAACUAGGGUUGUGUAUCGUUUGGUUCAAUGUGGUUUUAUGUAUUAUCAAUUUACUUUAUUACUUUUCAGUUUUUAAAUGCGCUAAACCAAUAAGAUAUUUUUGGUUUAUCAAUUUUGGUCCUUAAUGAUUCGGUUUUCAGUUUAACCAAUAAUAAAAUGCUUCUAAAAUAAAUGUAUGACUUCUCUAAAAUUUGAUACGACAAAACAAAUAAUGUAACUUUACUGAACGCUCGUAAAAUAGAAAUAGUAAUAACUAAUAUGAAAAGAACUAUAAAACUGCAACACAAAGAGAAAUUAAGAGGAAUAGAAUUCUUACUCUAAGUUUUGACAAGUUAUAUAAUGUGUGUUAUAUGAACUUAAAGUUACUAUGAAGUGUUAAGUAUGAACUGAAGGUCUAACUGUCAAAAGAUAGUAAUCAUUGAGGGUCAUUUGGUGUCAUAGAUAAAGAAACAUAAUCCUGGAAUAAUUUUUAGUACCCCUCAAUUCUUUGUUUGGUUACAAAGUGUAGAAUAACUUAUCUCAUGAUUAAUAACCAUUGUUUGAGUAAGUUAUUCCUACUUGUGAGUGAAAUACUAAUUUCAGAAUAAAAAUGUAAAAUAAAAACAAAAUUACUCCUUAAACCUUCUUUUAUAAACAAACAACUAAUUAUUCUUAGAGAGCAUAUUUGUAAAUGUACAACUUACUCUUACAAUUUAUGUCAUGCAUAUAACUAAUCACAUCAUAAUUUAUCACAACAUAAUUUAUAUUAUCAUAAUUAAUCUUAAUAUAACUUGUCUUCGAACUAAACGGCCCCUUUUGGGGCUAAAGUAACAUCUUAAUGCAGCUCUAUGGGAAAGCAUGAAUUGUUCAUAUAUAACUUGUCAUCAAAGCUGAAGACAUAUUUCAUUUGGUACUCAUUUUAAUUUUAGAUUGUCUUUUUGCAGGUAUUUUAUCAUUUGUCAGCUAGCUUUAUGUUUGUUGCCUAUAACUUCUUGACAGGGUCACAUUUGGUGGUGACCAAAUUAAUUUGUGAGAAAUAUGAUUCGUCAAAUUUUUAUCUAUUCAAUAUAUAUAUUGAUCGAUUAAAAUUUAGGUUAUCUAAAAGUAAAAUUGCUUUGGGCUACAAAAUACUUUAUUAAAAUAUUUUACAUAACUUUUUAUUUAAUAUAACAUAUUUUUAUACUUGUACAUAAUAAUUAGAAAAUUUUAUUUAUUUUAUUUGGCCUUUGAAUGAUUUAUAAGAAAACAAAGAAAAUUUAUAAUUGGUUAAGAGUACUUGGGUAAUCAAUUAGAUUAUAAAUUAUUAUUUAGUUUAUUUAUCUUAGCCUAACUUACCUCUAUCUAAUUAAGUUUUAAAAUAAAAUUGAAUAAUAACUCAUUUGUUGAUUCAAUUAUUUUAAAUUUUCAUUUGCCACCAUUAAUCACACGCAAGGUUUAUAUGUGGAGACAUGCCAUUGUCAAUUUACUCCAAAAAGAAAAAAGAAAAAAAAACUCCAAAAAAUUUCCAAGAGAAUCAAAAGGGAAACAAAAACGAAAAGACAGUGAACAUUAUUUUUAAAAAACUAUUUACGUAUUUUUUUAAUUUUAAAAUCUCUUUAACUGAUAAAAAGGGUGGAAAGUAAUUUAUUUAUUUUUUCUUCUUAAUGUUAUUUUAUCAUCUUUUAUUUUUUUAAAAAAAGUUAUUUUUUCUUCUUAAUGCUAUUUUAUCAUCUUUUAUUUAAAAAAAGAAAAAAGAAGAAGCUAUUUUAUCAACUAAAAUAGUACAUGAGGAUACUCUACUUUCAUUGAUAAAAAUGAGAUUAACCAAAAAACUUAACUAUUCCCUUCUUUUUAAAUUAGUUAAAGGAUUUUUAUAUAAAAAAAAUACAUAGAAACAAAUUUUUAUUUAUAUAACUUCUUUCAUUUCACUUUGUUUCAAUUUGACAUAGUUUAACAAAGGGAAAAAAACUUGUACACUAUCUUACGAUUUUAAAUAUGACAUAAUAUUAUAUAAUUAUAAAACUUUACUACAAAAAAAAUAUAUUUUUUCAAGAUAUCAAAAUCGAUGGACCGUGGGCAUCCUAUCGAAAAAACAAUCAAUUUUGUAUAAAAUUACGUGAAAACUAUGAAUAAUCCUCAUUUCAAACAUUGUAUAGCAUUUGCAUAGCUACAAAAAUUUUCAUCAGAAAAAUAUAAAUUACAUCUUUUUUUAUUGAAAAUGUCAAACAAAGUGAAACGGAGAUAUAUAUAGCUAUUCAAUGCUAAAAUAAUUCUUGUGUAAGGAAUGUGUAAUAACGGUAUAGAGUACAAAUAAAAGAUCUAUAAAAAAAUAAUUCAGCAGUUGAUAUGUUCUCCUUAUCCAGUUAUUAAUUGGCCACAAAAGAAAAGAAAAUAAAUGGACCACACCUGCAUGUGAUUCAGCCACGAGCCUAACACACUACCCCUAUUAAUAGACCGUGGCACAAACGCAUAUUUUUGAAGUUAUCUCAUGACUUCCUUAUAAGUUAUAUGGUUAACAACACUUGGAUCUCCUAGACUCUACCAACAAAAACGUGAGUUUAUAAGUUGUCCAACAUUUUGUGGCCCAAAUACCUCAGAGUCCCGGCCCCCCGGGUACGUAGGUAAUUAGUUAGUCAUGGAUUAGACAUGUGGAAAUCGUAGAUAAUUAAUGAGUCAUGAAUUAGACAUGUGAAAAUCAUAGUGAAUGAGUCAUGAGUCAAACAUGUGAAAAUCAUAAUUAGAAAUGACCUAAAAAGUUCAUGUACUAAAGUUUCCGAGCAUAGAUGAUAGAGCACGCUCACAAACAUGUUACCGAUAAAGAAGGGUAUAUUGUGAUUUUCCAUUACAUGUGUUGGUUUGAUAUAGAUGCUAUUUUCGACCAUUGUAUAAGUAGAAUAAUCACAGAUUUAUAUAUAUAUAUAUAUAUCAAUAAGUAAGAAGCCAAUAAUAUACACAUAUAUUAGUUAGUACAGUAAAGUACGUACCAUUUUGUUGCAAGAUCAUUGGACUAGGCUGGCCAGGCAUAGCAAAUUAUGUGGUACAAAAAAAUUGAGAGAACAUGCAAAAUAAGGAAAAGAUAUACAUAUGAGCAGGAAAAUAUACUGUCUGGUUUCCGUGCCCACCUGUCUGUCGAUUUUUUUUUUAAAAAAAAAAAAAAAAUCUUCAAUAGUAACCCUUAUCAACUUAAAUAUGCCUUCCCUAAUCAAGAACUUUGAGGCAAACGUAUAACAAAAAUAUAUUGUGCAAUUUUGGGUUCGAACCACAAACUAAUUCAUUCAAAUGGACACACGUUACUAUUGUGUUUAGAUAUAUAUAGAAUUUGACACAUAUAUAUACAACGUAAUUUUCUGACAAAGAAUGUCCAAUAGGAUGACUCUAGUGUGGCGCCACUAAUAUAAUUUGUAUAUACUUCUCUUUAGAUUCAAUCUAAGUCAUGUCUUAAAUUGAUUAGACAUGAUUUUAAUUUAAAUAAAGAAUUUUAUGAUCGUAGAUCAUUCAUAUGUUGGAUUUCUUUAAGGGUGAGCCUUAAAAGGAGAUGGUGUACUGUGAAUUCGAAAUGGAGGAAAAUAAUAUAUAUGUUGAAUGCCUUGAAUCGGACCCGCUACAAACAGAAAGGACGGGGGUCCAGGGGGGCGACGCGCCCCCUGGCCUGGGGGUCCGGGGGGACGGAGACGCCCCCGGCCCGACGGUAUACAAUGUUGUUGUAUUGGGCCCUUUAUUUUCUGUUGAUUCUGUAUGUUGGGCCCAAGCCUGUUAGGGCGUAGCUUAGCACUAUAUAUAGACGCUAUGGCAAACCCUAUUUUGUAAUUCUGUUUUUGCCUCUCCAUAAUAAAACUGCUCCCUCUCUUCCCGUGGACGUAGCCAAUUUAUUGGUGAACCACGUAAAUCUGUUGUCUUGUUUUUCGCGUUUAUAUUUUCUCGUAUUAUCUCAAAUUCCGCACAACAAUAUAUUCUCCCUUAUUGGUGGUUAAGAUGAGAUUUAUUGUAUUUUAAUAAGAAACACUCCUAGCUAUGCCAUCGACUUUGAAAUUUAGCAAAUAAUGUAAUUAAUUGAUAGAAUUAAUUUAAAUUUUGUGAAAAAUUAUGAGAAUCAACAUGAUCCUUUUGAACGUAAUAAAACCAUGUAGAUUAUUAAUAUUGAAAUUAAAACUAUUAUUAUUACUAAAAUAUAUAGUCAAGCUAGAAAUGACAUGAUCACAACUCCACAAGAUUAAAUAGUUGAAGUGCAACAUACUGGACACCGCGGGGAUCCACCAUACUUAUUGUCUCAAGCAUCUCAUGCACAAAGUCAAAAACUCAUGAGUAUCCUCACUCUUAUCACUCUGAAAUUGGAGUGGAUUCAUCUUUUGAAACUUCUCAUAACACUAUUGAUUAGCCAUUGUCAAAACAAUCUCAGGAGCAAUCUAUGUACCAACAGUCAUUUAGAAGGUACGCUCCACGAGCACGACCUCUAAUCGGCGCUAUUUUACGAGCAAGAUCUCUAGCUCAGACCUCCAACCCUAGCUGGGGUCUCAACAAUAAGUUUAGGGACUGCCUUCCUAUACCAGUGAAAACAGAAGUUCUGGACUUUUGGUCCUCGACAUCUAUCAAUUAAAACAAGAAAACUCAUCACUAAUGAAGGUAACCACACAAUAAGAAAAGAUGAAUAAAAGGAAGUUUUCUGACCGUCUUCAUAACCUCUUGAAGAUAAGUCUUCUUUUUACUGAUCCUUGAGACUCUAUUUAGAUUUGAAUUGUACACACGUGAGAUUUAUGAACUUGGGGCUCUGAUAUCAUUUGUCACGACUCAAAAAAGGAUGUGAUAGGGCACUCGUCUAUUCCCACCAAAAUAAUUUAGCUUCAACCCAACAAAAAAUGAAAGAAAUGUGGAAAUAUAAAGCAAGAACAAGAUAAACCGAAAAACUUAUUCUUUUUAUUAAAACCCUCGAAAUUUAGUUGUCACGUUUACAAGCUAUUAAAACAUGAAGUGCGGAAUUGAAAUAAUUACAGUUUGUUUCUCAAAUAGAACAACAUAUAAAGACAAGGAAAAUGAGGGUCCUUCACCAAGCAGCUACCUCUUAAAUCCUUCAGCAACCCUCAGAAAGGGAAGAAAAGCAAUUACUCACUUGGGCUCAGAACCUAAUAUACAAGUGUAGAAGCAAAGAGUGAAUAACAACAAUACGGUAACCAACAAGCAACCUAAUAAAUCAGACAUCUAGCUAAAAAUUGAAUACUCUUUUCAUCCCAACAGAAACUCCUCAAACUACAACCUGAACAGAAAUAGCUCAACCUAAUAGUUUUACAAUACACGGAUCACAAGACUUAAUAUACGUAAUACACGAAUCAAGUAAGUCAAUCUCAAUGCCAAGGAAAUCAGUCACAUGAACAAGUACAUCAAUUACAAUUAACAAGUAAGUCACAUAUCAACAUCAAAAUACAGUCAAAUCACAAUAAUCAGUCUCUCGUCGAAAUCAUUUUUCAUUAGCACAAUAUCACUAGCCAAAACCAUUCACAUAUAAAAAUAUACUUCGAUCAUCAUUUCCAAUUAAAUAAUCCAAAAACAAAAAUCACCUAAAAAAUAGAGAUAAUUCAUGCAAACACUUGUUGCCCAUUGCUAUGAAUCAUCAAGACCAAGUACAUUUUAACUUAAAUGAUGUACUACCACAUAUUGACCCACCUAUAAUUAAUUAAUAUAAGGUGAUAGAAUACGUAUUUGACACGCAUCACCAUUUUUUCAAUUUUAAUACGAGCAGCCUAUCUAUCAAUCAACAAAUGUCAAUAUGGUCGGUCACCCUCUAGCCAGUGGCCCGACUGAAUACAAGUUAUGUGGUACCCACAAUGUUACAACAAAUUUAUUUUUAUAUAUACCUGUCUAAAUGAUUGGAUAAUAUUAAAGGUUGAAUAGAUUUUUCUUUUAACUAAUCAGGUAGUGAUAAAUAUUUUUUCAACAAGUAUCGAGUGCAUUUUUUAUAAAAAAGUUUUAUCAUCUUAACGUGGGACUUUAUGAGAAAAAAAAAGAUUAUCCUAGUAAUCCAAUCAUCAAAUAAAUUUCAGAUUCAAGUAGAAAAGAAGAAGUAUGUUCUCAAGGUUUGUGGAUAAUUUCAGAAAAUUAUUUUUAGAAAUCACUAUUUGAGACAAAAGGAAUAUUUAAAAAUAGUUUCUGAAUCUCAUAAUAUUUACUAUUUUGAAAGUUCAAGACAAAUAAAUAAACUAUUCAAACAUCUUUUUAAAUUAAUAUUUUCUCAAUUAUGAAGCAUAUAAAUAAAAAAAUAUGAUAAAUAUUUUAAAACGAAAAAGUAAUAAAAGAUUCUAUGACAAAAUAUAAAGCGUUUGAACGGGCAAUUGCAAACCAUAAUAGAAGUAAUUAAUUGUCAAGGGAGUAUUAGGAGAAAUGAUUCAUGUAUUAUGCAUGAUAUUAUUUAAUAUUCUCUCCGUUUCGAAAAGAGUGUUCCUAUUUAUUUUUUUAAGUUUGUUUUUAAAAAAAUGACUCAUUUUCUUUUUUGGCAACAGUUUAGCUUCAACUUUCCACGUGGCGUGUUUAAGACCACAAGAUUAAAGGACAUUUUGGUAUAUUUGACAUAAUUUUAAUUUAGAACCACAAGAUUAAAAAGUCUUCUUUCUUUUCUUUAACUCCGUUUCAAGUCAAACUAGGUCAUCUUUUUUUAAACGGAGGGAGUACUACGAUUGGUAGGUUUUUUGGUCCAUGUAUAAGUAUAAUUAAUUCAUGGAUUAAUUUUGGGAAAAGGGUCAAAUAUGCCCCUAAACUAUUCGAAAAGGUCUAGAUAUACCCUCCGUUUAAAGUUUGGUUCACUCAUGCCCUCGCCGUCCAACUUUUGGUCCAAAUAUGCCCUUAUGAGCGUUAGUUGCCAUGUUGGACAUAUCCAAUUCAUUUUUCAUUUUUUUAAAUGCCACAUGGAAUUACCAUGUCAUUUUGGCCUUACCACAUAACAUUUAUAUGAAAAUGGAAAGAUAUUCGGACUCAUAAACACCUAAUCCAACCCCUUUUUAAAUAAAUUAUCCGACCAAUUUUCAACAAUUUUGAUUUUUUAAAGCUGCUCGAGGACGGCGGCUGGCGGCGCUGCUACUGGUGGCGGUGGACGCCGGCUGGAGUAAAAGAGGAAGAGGAGAAAAGAAGGCAGAAGUUGUGCUGAAGAGUGAAGAGGAGAGGAUGAAGUUGAAGAGAGAGGAAGAGGAUGAAGUUGAAGAGAGAGGAUGAAGUUGAAGAAGUUGUGCUGAAGAGUGAAGAGGAUAGGGUAUUAGGGAUUUAGGGUUUUUUAUUAUUCCAUAUCAAUUUUAGGGGUAAAUAAAUUCACCUUUAAAUAGCAGAGUUGUGUCAUAGGUCACCAUGAUAGUUUAAGCGUAUAACUGACUUUUCUAUAUAAGUUUAAGGGGGAAAUCUAUGCCUUUUCUCAAAAUUUUAAUUCAAACACAAAAUUAGACAAGAAACAAUAAACUAAACACUUGAUAAAAAAAUAAUCCCUAUAUUACAUUUCUGCAUUACUAAUCCGUGCGUUAUAAUAUUUUGUACCAAACGACUUAGGGAGCUGUUGUGCCUUCAAAUUUUCCAUAUGAUAAUCCAAAAGCAUGACAUAUUAUUCCAUUAAAUUUCAAAUCAAUACAAAAUAGAUCCUACAUUUAAUUUAUCUUAUUAUUUAUUAAGCUUAAUCUAAUGAAGAAAGAUGUAUUGCCUUUUUGUUAAUUACACUGUUUGCAUGUGCACCUUUGUCCCCAUUACAAUCAAACUUUGUCUUCAACUAACAGCUCUAGGAGAUAAUUUGUGUUUUUUAAUACAAAAUCUAGUGAUUAGAAUGUUUAGGCAUAUGCUCAUCAUUCUGGUCCUACAACCAUGUGCUACAAGAGAAUGUGUUUUCACUAUUGCAGGUUAUAUUUGUAUUACUAAUUGGUUAGUGAUAACGGAGCCAGAAAAUCAAAUAAAUUUUAAAUAUUGUAGAUUGAGAAAUAUAUUAUUAAUGAUUUUUGAAUUACGAAAUGAAUUUUUGAGAAAUGAUCAAAAGAAUAUACAUGUUCUUACAAUCUUAAUAAAAAAGAAUCAUAUUUUUUAUUUGUUUUGUACAUGAGAAAAUUUUUCUCAAUUAUAUAUUAGUGAUUUGGGGUUUCAAAUAUGGAGAACAUAGAAACUCUUAUUAGAAGAAAAUAUUUUGUUCUCCUUAAAUGAUUAUAGGUAACGUGAAUUUGAAUUAAUUAACCAUGGUUAUAUGUUUAAAACUUAAGCAGACUUUCGCUAAACUUUCUCCAAAUUGCUUGAGAAGUGGAUUUUAAUUUAUUCAAACAAAAUCCUUAAAUUUUUUAUUCAUUAUUCUUUUUAAAGUAAAAUAAGAUUUUAAUUUUUUACUGAGUUCAUGAAUUGAUUAUUCUCAUUGUCUGAACUUGUCCACUUGGUCCAACUAAUAAUUCAGAGAAGUUCACAAUUCAUCGUCAUUGUUUAUCUUAAUUAUUGAUCAAUUAAUUAAUUAAUUUGAACACUCAAUUAUCCACUCAUAUAUAUAACAAUUAUAAUAAACAAAGGAGUACUGGUUUUAGUCAAUUUUGAACAGGUCAUCUGUUUUUCUUUUAUUUAUUAACGAUCUUUUUAAAUUUUUUGGUCAAACAAAAAGAGACUCACAUAAUCCUUUUAUCCAGAUAAACUAAAUUCAAGGAGGUCCAAAAUCAUCCUAAUUGAAAAAUACACUACUAACAAUCUUCGAAUCACAAAAAAAAUUUAAAAAAGAAUAACCAAGAUUUAUACUCACAAUCUCUAUGAAUAAAAUUAGUUUUUAUAAUUGCAAUAUAUUUUCCAUAUUUGAGGAAAUGUAGCAAACAAUAAUUUUUUAGGUUGGGAAUUACUUCUUGUAAAAAAUAAGCAAAAAAAAAACAAUGAAAGAAAUAAUUUAGGAAUUUUGAUUCUCAUAAACAAGAAUAUUCGACGGGUGUAAACAUUCAACACCACAGACGAAAACAAUAAGAGUACAUGAAAACCAAUAUACAAAAUUUCUAGUAUUCACAAUUAUUUCUUAUAUUUUCUUUUAGCAAAUCCACUUUGAUUUGCUAGAUCUUCUCUUCCCUUCUCGAAUUCCGUGCAUAUAGCGAGAUAUUUAGUGCACUGAUCGAUCAAAAGUUAGAAAUAAGAGAGCAGAAAUCAUGUUCAUGACAAGGAAUAGUAAUUCCCAUAUCAUGAUUAAAUCCAAACUCUUCUUCAGCCCUUUGAAGCAAAGUUUGAAAUUGAGGAUGUGUCAACCAAGAAAUUGGAAUAAUAUAUCUACUCCUAUUUUCUCCCACAUAUACCACAAAAUGUCCUUUUGGGACAUCAUUUGGUAGCCCAUUUUCAUUUUUCCCAAAGCUAGAACAUUUUUUCAAGAUUUGUUUAAGAGCUGCUGUUUGAGUUGCUUUCUUUAAAGCCAUAGUAGAAUUGUUUAAUUUGUGUGUUGGGAAAAAAAAUAGAGAGAUAGAUGUGUAUUUAUUGGAAGAACAAAGGCAUGUGGGCUAUGGAUGUUUUGUGUGGGGUGGUAACUUCAAAUAGACCACUCACCCCUCUUUAGCCCCAAAAGUCCAACUUUAAUAUUUUUUUAAAAUUAUUUUUUUAUUUCACGCGUAUAAAACUAUAUUAUUGUAUCAGAUAUUAAAUUUUUAAUAUAUACUUAAUAGAAGAAUUUGAUUCGAUCUGAAUUCAGAAUGAUCGAUUUGAUUAUUAUUUUAGUAAAACGUUCUUAAAGAUUAUAAAAAGAUUAUUAGCUUAGGUGGUUUUGACCAUAUACUUUCUUGUAAUACAAAUGAGAUUUUCAUGGCACAAAUCGAGUAAGUUAAUUAAUAUUGACUAAUAUGCAUGUAAUCUCUUGAAGGGGGGGUGGGGUGGGGGUAGGGGCCGUUGACCCAAGGGAAUUGGGACGUGGCAAGGGGCUUGUACGUUUUUUACAUUGUUUAAAGUGAUACUAUAAAAAGUUUUCAAACAUUGAAGUGUUAGGGAUGGCAAGUGUAAAUUCGAUAUUCAUGUAUUUAAAUUCGAUUAAAUUUAAAUUCAUGAUGAAAAGUCUCAUAUAGAUAGAUAAAAAAAAUGAUUUGAUAUUUAAAGAAAAAUGAUAAAAUUGAGACUUCUGAUUAAAAAUAAAUUAAUAGUUCUUUUUUCACCACAUUCACGACCUCGUUAGUUACCACUUCAUUUAAAUGGACGAAAAUGUUCUGUUUUAUAAACCAAUCACUUUAAUCUAAUUUUAGGUCGUGAGGCCAAUAUUCACCACACAUCAAAAGGACGAAAAAAAGUCUCCCCACAAUUUAAUUUUUAGGUGAAAAUUUCUUAUUUCACACUUGUUUCCGUUAUUGUUUUUCCUUAUUUGACAUCAUAACUAGGUAGAAGUUUGUAGUAAGAGAACCAAUUACUAGUUUUUUUUUUCUUUUCAUGCUAAUUCAAUCAAAAUAUAUGUGAAAGAAAAACACUGAGCAUUCUUCAUUAAAAAAAUUAAUAUGAAAAUAGUAAAUUUACUAGCUUAACUUAAACUUGCACAGUAAAAAGUCAUAAAAAUGAAAUAAUUGUAUAGUAGAAUGUUUAGAAACAAAUAGUUAGUUGUGAUAUUUCUUUUUUCUUAAAAAUAAAAAAUAUAUAUAUAAAAAAAAAGUGGUUGGUGUAGGAAUUAGGAUUAUGAUAUAAAGAAAUGUCGGUAGGAGAAGUGCCAAAUUUAGUGAUUCAUGUUCCUUUUGAAUUUAUAAAGUGGAACCCUUUGGUUUAUACUUGUUGGACUGCAAUUUUCCAUUUGAGUAUUAAUAAUUUUUAAAAAUGUCUAAUUAAUUUUUUACAUUAUAUGUUGAAUACAUUCAUUCAAAUACAUAAAUGAGGGUGUAUUUAACUUGUUUUUGAUUUUCUUAAAAGAAAGUUAUAAUUCAAUAAGCUAAGCAGCAGCAGCAGCAGCAACAACAAUAAUAAUAAUAUAUCUUCGCAAAAUUAGUUAUAGAUAAAAUAAAACUAAUUAUUAUAAAAUUUAAUAUUAUCGGAUCCACCCACACCUGAUUAUCGUAUCUAGUAUAAAUAUAAGAAUUAAAAAUUAAGGUGCAGUAAAAAUAAAUGGGAAAGAAUGUUAAAUACAAACAUUGGAAUGUUUCUAAAUAAUAUAGAAUUAAUUUAAAUAAUAAUUAAAAAAUUGUAUUUAGACUAAUAAUACAGUAUAACCAUCCAAUACAAGGUGUAAAUUACAAGAAUAAAAUUGAGAAAUAUUAACAUAACAAAAAUAUCAAAUAAUAAUAUAAAUAAAUAUUUUUUUUCAAGUUAAUCGCCUUUUAAAAGAGAAAGCACAUAACAUUGUCUUACAAUUUAUAUAACUUAAACGACGUUAAUGGCAUAUCAACAAUUUUACCUUUUCUUUUUUUCAACCUAAAAUUGUUAGCCUUUUUGAAAAUCUUAAUCAAUUUUAUUGUUUUUUUGCUACGGAAUCCUUCGAGUCUUCUUUGUUCAAAUGAAACAAAUUCCAUUUAGAUUCUGAUCACAUGACAUGUCCAAUUAAAUUUUCUUAAAUCUGCAUAUGUUCACUAUACAAUAUAUUAUUUAAAUAUGCAAUUUUAUUAAAAUUAUGUUUUUACAUAUUCGAAGAAUGUUUGAUGAGUUGAAAUGUAUGAAUGAUGAUUCAGUUUAUGAUAAUUAACUAUUUAAGUCAUUUGAUUUUAUUUUGUUUAUUAAAAGCCAUCCAACUUUUUAAAUUGACUUUUAUUGUCAUUUUAUUAGGAUUUUAUCCUUUUUUUUUUAGAAAAAAUCAUAUUUGAGUUUAUUUUUCUUUUGAAUGAAAAUUAAAACAUUGUCAUAAAUAUUUUUAGUUUUUUCUUAUAAAAAAUAUAUAUUGUUUUUCAUAUUUGGUUAUUCUUUUUCUUAACGAAAAAAUUUGAAAUUCUAUAAAUUGAAAACUCCCUCUUCAUAUCAAAACACCGUAACAUUCACAUUGUAGUUAUUUAAAUUUUUUUCUGUACAGUUUCAAUAUCUUCCUUAAAAUUAAUUUUAUAAUAAAUUCGCCAAAUCAUAAAAUAAUAUUAUAUAUUUUAGUUGUCCUGUGAUUUACGUCAAAUUACCUUUGAUGAUUAUAUAGACUGACUGACUGUAUUAAUAACAUUUAAUAAGAUUAAUUUGAAUUAUGGAAUGUAGUUGAAUGGACCAUACAAAGGGAGCAUCAUAACAAGUGUUGGACCAAUAUAAAAGCAAGUUUGAUAGUCAGAAGUCGUACUCACAAAAGUGACUAUAAAGGAGUAUCUUUUUUUUUAUUUAUUUAGUCAUUUAAUUUUAAUUUUUCAUAUAAUUUUUUUGAUUGAUACAAAAUUUAAGAAAAUAAAAAAUUAAAUAUUUAAAUAUUAAAUAAAUAUAUAUUUUUUUAAUUUUAUAAUUGUUUUUAUAAAAUUAAAAAAUAAAUAAUAUUGUAGUAUAUUUUAAUCUAAAAUUAUAUUUUACUUCAUUGAAUUUCAUAUCACAUUAUAUAAGACACAUAAAUUAAAAUAAGAGAGAAUAAUAUAUAUUCUCUCUCUAUUUUAAAUUAAUUGAAUUGUAGAGAUAUUUUUUAUUUUUCGAAUUAACUUAAUUGUUCAUUUUUAAGACUACUUUUACAGAGUUCUUCUAAUUUAUCUUUCAUUAGUUAGUAUUGAAAUUAGGGGUGUCUACUAUUUGGACUAAAUCGAAAAAUAAAAUUGAAUUCUAAUUUGGAUUGGUUUUUUAAAUUUUUGGUUUGUUUUGGAUUUAUAAUCUACUUUGUUUGAUAUUUUGGUUUGAUUCGGAUUAGAAAAAUGAAAUCGAAAACCCAAAAAAAAUAAUUAAAUUAUAUAUAUACACACUAGAAUUAAGUUGGAGUUAAACCAUUUUUGUCCCUUUUUAGUUAUUUUCAUUAUGAUUUAGUUCAUUUAUUAUGCUUGGACAUCUAUAAUAGACAUUUUUAUGCAUUGAAUUUUACGUCUUAGUUGUGAUUUAUAUUAAAAAGUAUAUUUAUGAAAUUCAAUAUAUAUAUAUAUAUAUAUAUAUAUAUAUAAAAAAAAAAAUUUAAAUUGAAAAUAUAACAUUGUUAUAUUUCUAAUAAUUGACAUAACCGAUUAACCAAAUCGAAAAAAAUCAAACCAAAAAGAGAAAAAUCAAAUUAAACCAAAUUUAUUUUGGUUCAGAUUGAAUUACACUUCUUCAAAAUCAAAAAUCCAAACCCAAAAAUCGAAUGCAUACCUCUAAUUGAAAUUAGUGAUUAAUUAAUAUUAAAUUAAUUUAAUUAUAAUUCAAUAUUAAUUAAUAAGAUUAAAAAUAAAAAAUAAUACAUAUUAUAUCUUUAACUUUUUUUUAAAAAAAAAGAAAAUAUAAAAUACCUCAAUAAUUUAAUUAUUUUGAAAUAAAGGGACAUGAAUAACAGUAACAGACAUCUCCAUCAAAGUCAAAAAGGCUUUUGUAGAUUUUCUGACUUUUGUGGAUUCUCUCAAUUAGACACAACCUUUUUUAAUAAUGUUUCCGCAUGUCAAGUGACUUUCUACUUCAAUCACUAAGCUAUUCCGUGGGCUUUUUUCAAAUAAAAUAAUAAUAAUAUUUAUGAUUUAACGUAUCACGUAUAUAUAUUCCUCGUUCACUUAUUGAUUCAUCCACUACGAAAGUUAUUUAUCUCAUAUAAAGAUUGGUAAAGCAUUAUAGAAAUAACGAGUCUACGAAGGUAUAGAAGCAGUCUCACUAACUUUUAGCGAUAAUAAAUAUUUACAUAAUAAAAAAUAUUAAAGUCUUUAGGGACAUUAUUUAAGUGUUAUUAGAAUAAAUUUUGUUAAAGACUUUAGGAAUAUAUAUAAAGAGUGAUAAUUAUCGCUAAAAAUACAUAUUUAAUAAUAAUUAAAAAUUAAUUAACGUUAAUAAUCAUUUUUGAUGUAGUGUCUAUAUUAGAGCGAAAAAUAACAUUCACAAUAAAGCCAACAUCAAGUGAGAAUAGUAUGAGAAAACCAAAAACACUUUCAAGUCGAUCAAUAUGGAAUUGCAUAAGGGAUUAACUUGUACCCUGAUAUUAAUUUGCAUUAGUUAUGAAUGUGGUGACGCGACAUAUUCAAAGAAGGGUGUCACAUUGUAUGCUAUUUGUAGAGGACAUAGUAUUGAUUAACGAGACACACGACAAGGUUAAUAAUAGGUUGAACGAUUGAAGACAAACCUUGAAGUUUAAAGGGAUCAUCUUGAGCAGGACUAAAAGAGAGUACUUGUUAUGCAAAUUCAAUGACAGCUUUUGAGGAAGUUGUGGAGGUGAGGAUUAAUAGGCAAAAUAUUUAAAAAAGCAAAGUCUUGUGUAUGGAUAAAAAAGAGAUUUGCAUAUGUGAAUUGUGUGAUAAGAAUGUGUCACAAAAAGUUAAAGGUAAGUCUUAUAAAAUGAUAGUUAAAUUAACUAUAUUUAUUAUAUGAGGUGAAAUGUUCACUAAUCAAGAACUUGCACGUUCAAAUAUGAAAGUAGAAAAGAUGAAAAAAUUGAGAUAGAUCUGUGGGCAUAAUGUGAGAUUAAGAAUUAACUAUUAGAGACAAGAUAAGAGUGAUUGAUGGACAAUACAAGGAAAGCAAGACUGAAUGGUUAGGUGUACGAAGAGAAGAUAUAAUGUAACGACCUAUCUUAUUGUUAUUCAAAUGACAUCUCGUCACUACAAAAAAUUUGAUUAUCAGGGGAAAAAUAUUUCGUCAUUUAUAAGUCAUAUUCCGUCACUAAAAAUCUUGUGAGACGGAAAUUGAAUCGUCACUCAGUCGUCACUAACUGUGUGUCUCUAAAAGUUUACAAAGACAAUUUAGUGUUCCAUUGCUAGAAGUAUUAUUUUCAAAAAAAAAAAAAUUGUCCCUAAAUGCUUAAACAUUUGCAAUAAAAUUAUUUGUAGUAACUUUUUUUUUGUAGGUAACAAUAUGCUUUGUCACUAAAAAUGUUAUUACUAUCGACAAAAUUAUAUCGUCGCUAAUUAGUUUACUUCAAUCAGUGACGAAUCAAUUGUCUCUAAAGUUAUAUGUGUUUCGUAGUUGAACAAAUCUAAAUUCAUCACUAAUGACCAUAUUUUGCAUACAAAAAAUUAUUUUGUUCUUAACUAGGAUAAAUUUAUCAUUAUAAAAAAUGGUUAAUUUUCCUAUGAUAUAUAUUUCCCAUCUCUAUGAUUUUAACCUCUGGCCAAGAGAGGUUGGAAGUGAAGAGUGCUACCAUCUGAUCAACUCUCUCUUGUCUCUCACUUUUAUUUUAUUCUUUACUUCAUUCACUUCUUUUAAAUUUAAACUUUAUAGAAAUAAUAUAUUAUAUUAUUAUUGAUACUCAUAAACAAUUCAUUCAAAUGUAGAUUGUAUUUUAAUUAAAAUGUAUAUUUUUUAGAAAUUCCUUUCAAUAUAGGCAGUACGAUUGUGUCAUUUUAUUUAUUAAUUUUUAUAAAUUUAAAAAUUAUUAAGUACAAUUAUAAAUUUAUAAAAAAAAAUUAAAAUUUUGAUUUUAUUAAAAAAAAUUGAAUAAUCGGUUCAAUUUGAUUAGUAAAUCAAUUGUUUUAAAAAAAAUCGAUACCCAUAAAUAUAAUACUUCAUCAUAAUAUAUUUGAAAUCCUAGUUGGUUCAUUUGUUUUAUUUUUUACUUCAAUUUUCACAAGGAUGGAAAAGUUAAUAGAAAUUCAAUGAAAUAUUUCGCAACUUUGAGAAGUUUGAGUUCGUAAGUCGAUAUGUAUGUGGAAUUACUAUUAUAUAUGCACAUAUUUAUAGACAAAAAUAAAUAGAUCGACUUAGUCUAAAUUACUUUUUACUCGUCUUUAUCAAUGAAAGUGUAUCAAAUAAAAAAUAAAAGUGUGAAAUCAACAAAUAUUAGCGAGCUAGUGAUAGAACCGUACCCCAUUCACAGUACUUCUAACCUGAAUUAUAUUUUUCAAAUGAUGCAUUUUAUAAUUGCAUAAUUUUAAAAAAUUGGUGUAUUGAACUUUUUCAUUUUUACAAAAUCGUCUGAAUUAAUAUUUUCCCUCUAAAAUUAAUGAAUAGACUCUGUCUAUUUCUUAUGAAACACUUGUAUUAUUCCUUUUGUAAGUUAUUGCUUAAUUAUAAACAAUUGUAGCCAAAAAAUUGUAUUUAGCUAUGAAUUUGCAUAGCACAUAGUUGAAUUAUUUCACGACAAAAUUUAAAUCGUCGCUACAUUUUUUGCUUUAAUAUUAUUUAUACAUUGAACAAAAUUAUAUUUCAAAAUCCUCUGUAUCCAAAAAUAAAAUAAUUGUCUUCUUUUUCCGUUUCAGACGCUGAAAGGUAACAAAAGAAAAGAAGAAACAAAAAUUAUUUAAUACAAAAAUUACAUUUUAAAAAAUUAUACUUUUUACUCGAGAGAGUGAAACUCCUUUUGCCACUUCAACAAAAAAAUAGGGAGAUAAUUGUUCCAUUAGUUUAGAAAAUUACUUAUACCCUUUGAUCAAGAAAGGAAAUAUAUAGAGAGAUAAACGUGAUAUUUAUAUUUUCAAUAAUUUAUGUGAAUAUCACAAUCUUUAUAAAAAUGUAAUUACAAAAACGUAAUCUCCUAAUUUUUCUCUUUACGAUCAUCAACUCAAGAGCUUUGCCUUUGUUUUUGAAAUCGGUAAAAUACUUAUUGAAACUUUACCACGAUUGUACAGUUAUGGUUUGAUCACAAUCAUGGAGAUAUGAGAACUUACUUACCACUCAGGAAUAGAGCUCAGUCUUUCUUUCUAGACUUAUGAAGACCAAUUUAUAUAUGUGUGAGCUAGAGUUUUGCGGAUAUUUUGAUCUCUAAGUAAGUUUUGAGGAUCUUUGACUUAAAGAGCAUGAGUUGGGCUCGUCUAGUCAACUUAACAGAUUGACCCCAACAUAAUUUGGUCUUUAAUUAUUUAAGUCAUAUAAUUUUAAAAUUUUAAGAAUAGCAAACAUAAAAAUCAUACUAACACUCUAUAACUACAGUUUUGCUAUUUACGCUCCAUAGCGAACAUAGUUCGCUAUUGAGCAUCAUAUUUGUAUAAAUUACAGCGAUUUGUAUAAAUUACAACACUUUGUAUAAAUCGCGACGAUUUAUAUAAAUCGGGCAUCUAUGUCUAUAAAAAUUGUGUUUGUAUAUCUUUAUGUUUUUUGUGUUAGGCUAGAGUUGCGAGCGAGAUUAGGAGAGGGAGGAGAGAGGCAAGCGAGAGAGGUCAGAAAGUGGAGAGAGAUGAACUGUAUAUGUAUAUCAGUUAGAUAAUUGUAUAUAUGUAAUAUAAUGUAUAUGUAUCAAUGAUUGUAUUUGUAUAUCGAUAUUAAAUUUAAAUUUGUAUAUGAUUAAAUCGAGUUAAAAUAUUUGUAUUUGUAUAUCAACAAAUACAAAUUGUAUAUUGUAUUUUUAUAAUUUGUGUUUGCACUAUUGCAUUAGUUUUUCCUUGAAGAAAAUGACAAGAUCUUAAGGUAAUUGUCCUUAAUUUCUUUGUCAAUCAAUUAUAAUUUAUUUUGGUGCAGUUAAGAGUUGCCCUUUUUACUUUAUUGUUGAUCUAUACAAGACUUCAACUUGAUUUUGAUAGAAAUACUUUUUCUUAGUGUGUGUCAAUGUAGUUUUGUCCAAUAAAUUAUGUCAAUGUUUGCUUUUUAGAGAGUCAACUAUAUCUAACAAAAUUAUUCACUUGUCUUAAUUUGUGAUGAACCACUUGUGAAUAUCCACAUCAUACUGCAAGUAUUUAGUCAAUAGCUUACUGGAUAUAUAAAUAAUUAAUUGAUUGCCACUGAAUUGUGAGCACAUCUCCCCUUUUUUUUUUCUUUUUUUUUUUAACUAGUAAACUUAGUGUUUGUUCGGCCAUAGAUUUUCUAAAUAAUAUUUGGGAAAAAAUUUGACAGAUAGUAUUUAUUUAUACACUUUGAUAUUAUUUGGUAAAUAUUUUUGGCAAAUAUCCCAAAUUCUCAAAUAUUAAUUUUUUCUACUAUUUGGGUCAAAUCUCAUUAUUUGGGAUUUUUUAAAAAUUGAAAGUUUAUCCCAAACAUUUAUCUUUUACAAAAACAUCCUCUGUAGUUAUUGCUUACGUUGUAUGACAUAAUUUUUUACAUUAAUUUCAAAGUAGUAAUGAAAUAUUCGGUGAAUGUGAAAUGAUAAAAUGAUUGUUGAUGAAAAUGAUGAAUAAUCGGCUCAAGAUAACAAAGUCAUGUGUUAUGUCUACUUCACGAUGUAUUAAAUGAUGCUUGUUUCACUCACUCAAAAUUAACACAUUGCUCUAGUGUCAUGGACACUAUUUGUUAUUGUUGUAACAAAGAUCCAAUUGACUUAUAAUACAAACUUAUGGUUAGUUUUGAUAUUUUUAACUUAUGGAUUAUUUCCUAAACAUUAUGGCCAAACACAUGGUGAAAUUUCAUUCAAAUUUUCACACAAAUAAUAUUUUUCAAGAAUUUUUAGAAAUCUAUGACCAAACGCUAGCUUAGUUGCGCUACGCGCGACGUAUAAAAUUUUUCAUUUUUUUAAAAUUUUCAAGUCCAAAUAGAUUAGCUAAUAAAUUUUAUCAUUUAAAUUUGUAAUUUCAACUCAAUUCAUGAAUUGAUUUUAUCAAAAAAUAUAUAUCCUUAAAUUAGCAGUACGGUCAAAUACCUAUACUUUUUUCUGGUUGAAUAGUACCUAUGCUUUUAUGUUAGUUAUAAUAUAUAAUUAAGAAUUUAUGACUUUAUUAUCCAUUUGAAUGAGUUCUCAAAAUUAAAUAUGGUCAACUUUGAUAUUUUGUUAAAAAUUUAAAGUGAGAUUUUUAGUCUUUUAAUUUUUUUUAAAAAUAUGAUAAGAAUUAAACUAGUAACAAAUCCAAAAACAGUCUUAGAAAUAUGAAAAAUUAUUUGUAAUAGAUAAGCUACCUAUAAUUUGAAGACUUAAAAAAGUACUUCAAUAGUUGUAUAUUAAAUUUAAAGUUUUCUCUCUAUAUGUUGAUUCUUUGGAAGGAAAUGGUGAUGCAUGAUUUUAGUUCGGUAAAAUGAUUUUUAGUGACAUAAAAUUAACAUAAAAUAAACAAAUUGUUGUUAAAAUACAUGAUAAAAUAAAUAAUAAAUGAACAAUUAUAAAUGAAUGAUAAGAAGUUUUAUGUUACGAUUUAAAAAAAUCUUAUAAUAUCUAAUAAAAACUUAGAAUUAGACACUUGAUUUUUUUCUAAAUAAGGUAAAUAUAAAAAAAAUUGUUCACAAAUAAUAUGAAUAUUAAUAAUUAUUAAUGAUAUAUAAUAUUUUUAUAUAAUUAAAGUGUAAGAGAAAAAGUUAAGUAAAUUUUUAGAAUUAUUAUAAUGGAGGAUAAAUGGUUAAGUAAUAAGUAUAUUUGAAAUAAUCAUCUGUAUUAAUUUUUUUCUUGAUAAAUUCUCUUCUAUUAUUCUACGUUUUCUAAAAUUUGUUUCAACGCUAUUCUUUUAGUCUCUUUUUUUUCUUAUUUUAUUCUUCAUUUUUUAGACUUUGCUUAUUUAAUUCAAUUAAGAAAACACUAACCAUUAGCAUCGUAAUUAAGAGAAUCAAGUUUGCUCGUCUUUAGUAUUUUUACUAAUUUAUAUAUUUUUUAAAACAGUAACAAUUAACAUCGUAUCUUAACAUAAUGAAGUUAGUUUGUCUUUAGCUUUUUAUUAACUUACGCAAAAUGUUUAAAAUGUAUUCUCUUAAUUAAUUUUUAUUAUAUUUUUCAUGAUUCAUAUUUUAUUGAAAAUUUAAAAAUAACUUCAUAAUAAUUUUGAUUAUCUCCCACCGCUAAGGAUAUAUACAAAUACAUUUUAAUGUUUUUAAGAAUUUUUUUUAGUCUGACUCUUAAUGAUCUUGCUCUUAUAAUUUCAUGCAAAAAAAAAUCAAUUAUUCUCUUUUAUAUAUCUUAUUUUGUAUCAUUUUUAUUAGAAGUAAAAAUAAUUAUACAAAGUAGUCUUUGUCAAUAGGUUUUGCAUAACAAGAUUAAAGUAGAGGACAAUUAAGCUAAACACUAAUAUAUUUGGUUAGAAAUAUUCUUUUAACGUGCUUUUAAGAUGUCACAAAUUUAAACAUUAAGUAAUUGAGGAUUAUGAAGGAGUAUGAGUUUAUGAUAUAAAUUAAAUUAAAAUAAAUAUAUAAAAAUAAGUGAAAAAGUAAAAAAAGUUAUAUAUGUUUUUAAUAAACAAAAGUAUGUUUAAGUAAAAUCCUCCACCAUUUUUAUGGUUUAAUUUUAGGGAUAAUGCCCAAGUACCCCCCUCAACUUAUGCCCAAAAUCUCAGAGACACACUUAUACUAUACUAAGGUCUUAUUACCCCUCUGAACUUAUUUUAUUAAUAAUUUUUUACCCCUGAACUUAUUUUAUUUUAAGUAAAAUCCUCCACCAUGUUUCUGUUUUGUAUAAAGCGAGAGAAAAUUGUAUAUACACGUGCAAAAAUGCAUAUCUUCGUGUUAUACACUUAAUUAUAUGAUUUACAAACAUUUUACUUCAAAUAUUGCAGAGAAAAAGGCCAAAGAAUUAUACAAUUGUGAAUUAUACAAUUGCAGUAAAAUACAAUUUUUUCUAGCUUUAUACAACAGAAGUGUAUAUAUUGUGUUUCUGUUUUUGUAUAAAGCGAGAAAUACAUAUAUCUUCUUGCUAUACACUUAUAAUUAUGCAAUAUACAUACAUUUUAAUUCGAUUCAACUGUAUGCAAAGCUAAGUAUACAAUUGCAGCGAAAUAGGCCAGCGAAUUCUACAAUUUAGGCCAGCGAAUUAUACAAUUUAGGCCUGCGAAUUAUACACUUGUAUAUGUAUAGCGAAUUAUACAGUUUUUAUGUUUGCUAUGGAGCGCAAUUAUGCAAAGUUUGCUAUAGCAUACAAAUAUGAAUUUUUUGUUUGCUAUAUGUGAAAGUUGCCCUUAAAGUAAUUAUUCUCAUUAACUAAAAUUUUAAUAAUUAUCGGUCAUAGCUACAUUUUAAAGUUGCUAUAGGACUGAGCAUUUGUAUAAUUCACUUCUUUUCAAAGUUGUAUACAAAAUUGGAUGAUGGUAACAACAUCUUAAUUUGCGGAAUAUUAAAUCGUUAGACUCCAUACCAAAUACACUACAAUUCAAAAACAAAACAAUUGAUUUCAUCAUUGAUCAACAAAUACAUAAUACAUUGAAUUUGAGUCUUUUUUUUGUUCUUUUGUAUGCAUAUGUAUAAAUCAAUUUCUAAUUUGGUGUUCUAAUAUAUAGAAUUUGUUGUGUAUUAGCUUCACCUUUUUUAGAUUCAAUCCUGAAUCGGUUAGUAAUUUGAUUUUUUGAAGUUUUGUUUUAUCGAUUUUCUAUUGUAUUUUGACUGAAUUCUGUUGACACCCAAUUUUUGACCCACGUCGGUAUAAAUUAAUUAUCGAGCUUCGUGAGGUUUUCAAAUUUUUUAAAUUAAUUAGUUUUAUAAAUCUUGCGAAAAUUAAAUUAAAUAUAUAUAUAUAUAUAUAUAUAUAUGUAUAUAUAUGUAUAUAUAAUACGUGGAUUUUAUGCUACUUAUCAUAACUUUAGAUAGUAUAUAUAUAGUACAUAAUUAUGUAUAUAGUUUGUAUAUCUUAUGAUUAUUCAAAAACAAUCAAGAUAUACAUUUAAAUGUUUUAUCAAACUAGUUAAAUUAAAUUACGAUUAUACCUUUGAAUCACCUUUUAGGAUUUUAAUAAUUAAACUACUAAAUAAAGAGGCUCGUUAAUUAGUCGAUAUAAAUUCAUCAUUUUAAUGGGUUGUUUGUUAAAUUGACUCAAUUUCCUUACCCAUUUUAAUUAACUCAAUCUCCAAUCCUUUUAUUUUAUUUCCUAGGCCCAAAUAUUUUUUUUAACAAUCCACUCCAACUUCAGCCCAUCCUUCCUCAACCCCAAAUCAAUUUUCCAACCCAAUUCGUAGGCCCAAUCUUCUUUAUUUCCAUCACCCUUCGACCAAAUUGCUUCAGAAACCCAAUUCCUCCGACCCAGCGGCCCAAAUCCCUUUCGUCAGCCCAACGUUUCCCUCCGCCCCAAGCCCACUUCUUUCCCAUAACCCAUCCAACGACCCGACCCAACCCCUGUCUUCUUCCCCUUCCCCUCUCACGCCCCAAACGACGAAGCAAAUCCCCCAGAACAGAAAUCCCAGAAAAAAAAGACGCGACAGAAAACCAAAAACGGAACCCCCCCCCCCCCAGACGCGACCCCUUUCCCGCGUCCCCCCACGCACAGCCUCCCCUCUCUUACCCCUCUCGAUGCGUCUCCUCACGCUCUCUCCUCUCUCUUCUCCUCUCCCUAUCGCGACGCGCCACUCCUCCAGGGAUGUACCUGAUAGCAGCUGUCUCUUGUUGUUUCUCUCGCCACGUUUCUCUCACUCGUACGACUUCGCAGUGCUAGGAGACGCGGGUCGUCCUUGUUCGUCCUUGGUAGCACGAGAUUGAGCCACGUCGUGUACCAAGGACGGAAGGCUCAUCUCGACCCUCCACCUCGCCUCAGAGCCGUUCAAAGAUCCAGGAAUCGAGGAAUAUUCGUUUCUGUUGGAUAAGAUUGGGAUUUCGAAUUCGAAAUGGGGGAUCCCGCCCGAAAAUUCGAAACCCUAAUUUUCCCCUUACUAUAAAAACCCCGUCCGAGACAGAGAAAAGGGUUGGCGAUUUUUAUUGGAAAUUCUGGGUUGAACAUUCUUUCGCCUCCUCUGUUUAUUUAACGAAAAUUUCUCUUUGGCUUUUCUGGCUCUGUUUUGAGAAGAGUUCAAAUUUUAGAGAGGACGAAAAGAAAAGAGAGAUAGAGAUAUAAGAGAAGAGUGAGUGAAGCCACCGAAAGGGUCACUAACGGUCUCGUGUUUGUGAGUCUUGGAGUCGAAGUUCGUCUCCCUCCUCGUCCUUUUUUAAAGGGAGGCACUGUCAGCUGAAGAUAUUCAAAUAGAGCUCCCAUUUCAGUUUCGAUUAAGGUGUCGCAGUCCGUUCCGACGAUACCAAGUUCGCGUCGUGAUAGUUGCCGUUGAAGUCGCUGCUCGUCGGUUCCAGUUGCUGCCUUCAAAAAGGUAACCCAUUUUGCUUUGAACGAUUGCUCGUUUUCCUUUGUUUAGAAAUGGUUUCUGCUGGUGCUCUAGCGAUCUGUAUGGUGCUGCUCAUUGCGAAUCUUUGGUUGUUUGUGCAUUUCGUAUGUUCAAAGUGUACUCUUCAACUGUUUUGUUUACCUCAUGCUGGGUCUGCUCAUAUGUGUCGUCUCAUUUGUGUCAUUCUAUCAGUCGCGAUUGGGUUCGUAGGUAGUAUCUCUUUUCGUCUACGUCUUCUUCGCUGCUUCCUUUGUUGUUCUGUCCUUGGUGCCAUUGUUCGUUGAUGUCGGAAAAGAUUCGUUAUAUAGUCGUUUAGGCCAAUCUUUCUUGGGUUUGCUUUGUUGUUUGCUAGUAUACAUGUUCUUGAUGGUUCUAUUUGUUUAGUCCUAAUUUUAAGUUAACAUGGGUACAGUUUUGAUUAAUGUCGUGACUCUCUGUUUUCGUCGAAACUUUAGGUUCGUUGCAGUCUUCUUCUGCCGUAAAUGUGAGUUUUAUCAUGGGUUGUGUAUUUGAGUUUCUCUAAGUUAGGGGGGCUCAUUCUGUGGAAGCAUAUAGAGUUUAUUUUGUUAUCAUUGUUAAAUUCAUCAAUCUAAUUUGUUAAGUGACCUUACAUGACAUAUUUCACUGUGUUAUCAAUGUUUUAAGUGUCUUGUUAUUUGGUAUGAAUUGAUAUAUUUUUUUAGCUAGAUUUGCUUAUUCGAUGAUAGAACAUUGUCGUUGGGAGAUGUAUUUUGUCUAAGAUGAGAUCAAGUGUUCCUUCUAUCUUGUAUUUCACUUAAAUAGACUUUGUUCUAAUGUUCCUUCUUCCCAUUUGUUGCAUGUAAAAUUUCCUCCCCGGUCCACUUUGGAACCCCACUUUCCCUCGCAUUUCGGAGGAGCCAUGAAGGCUCAAAAGCUCUUCCCAUCGAGUCAGCCUAUCGAGACAGAAGUGCAGAUUCGAAAAUCCACGGAGAUUGAAGAAAAUCCAAGAACUGACUAGAAGAUUUCCUUAGUUUCUUUUAUAUAUUUUGCGUUUUUAUUUAUUCUGUAAUGGGCAUAAGCCCUCGUCGUUUCCAUUCCUUUGUAGUUUAUUUUGUAUGUUUAGAUUAGGACAGGUACAAAAUGGGUCAAAAACCCAAAAGUAGGUGGGUUCGAGUUUCGGCCAAGGCGAACAGCAUUCGAAACUUGGACCCGAAUCUCUCUCUCUCUCUAUUAUUUGCUUACGCUUUUUUUUACUUGAAUAUCGUUGGCCUAGGAUUAGAAAACUCCAGCCCCAUCGAACGUCUUUUAUUUUAUCAAACUCAAAUUAAAAAUUUGAAACUUUAAAAGAUAGAUGUUUAAGUUUGAAAAUCGCUUAGAGUUAAAGUUUUAACUUCAAUGAAAUAUUCUAAAAAAAUUGGAGAAUUUGCAUAACAGUUUCUAAUAAAGUUUCUAUAAACAAAAGAUUAGCAAAAGUUAAAACAAAAUAGUCAAAUAUUGUUAAUCGUCGGAAAAUCGUGUUUUAACGGAGUGUCUUAGGUGCCUUACACCUUCCUAAGACACUAAUAAGAAUCCCGAACCCCCUAAAAUAUUUUCAAAAUAAUUUUUUCUGUUUAAGUUGUUUUGGAAAUAAGUUUUCUUGAUUUUUCUUAAAAAAUUAAGUGGCGACUCCUAAAAGUCGAAAAUACUUUAAAAAUAAAAUAAACUCUUUUCGAAAUAAUAAUUUUUUGAUAAAACAAAUUCUAUAUAAAACAAUCAAUUAUUAGUUGUUUUAACUGUAUUUCAAUAGAUCUGGUAAUAGUGAAUUUGAACAAAUUAAAUUUAAAAAUGAAAUUGUAUCAAUAUCCAUUGAUAGUAAUGUGUUGUAUUUUGGCUGAAGUUAUAUAAAUCAAUCAUUUACUAGUUGUUCUAAUUGAAUAAGUUGUUUUGAUUGUAUUUAAAUUGAACGUGUAAUGGGAAAUUGUAUAUGAACGUAUUUGAAACUCCAAUUGUAUAAAUUCUCCAUUGAUAAUUGGAGCUUUGGUCAAAUGUAUGUUUUCCAUAUAUUUUGUGGAAUUAUUGUCCGUAUAAAAUAAUAUAUGUAGUAUUAAUAUACGUAAUUGUAUAAAUAGAGACUUGAUAUAUGCAUUUGUAUAUUUGAUCUAUAAUCAUGUGUAGUUGCAUCUAUUUCAGUCUGUAGCUGCUUCAAUUGAUAAUUAUUGUAUAACUUAGUUGGAAUUAAUUGAUUUCAAUUUGAAAAAUUAAAUAAAUUAGCGACCUUCUUAGUAAUACUCUUACGCAUAGUUACAAUUCUUAUAUGUAUACAUCAUUAAAUUAUAUUUGUAUAAUUCUGAUAUGUACACAUACUUACGUUGUAUUUGAUGUAUACAUAGUUAAGUUGUAUUUGUGUAGUUCUAUUAUAUAUACAUCAUUACUUUGUAUCUUGUACAGUUAUGAAAUGUAUAUACUUCUGGUAUGUAUACGCCACUAAAUUGUAACUUAUAUAGUUUUAACCAAACUAAGUCAUUAUAUAAAAUAAUUUACCAAAGUAAUACAUUUUUCUAAAAUUUUACAAAAUUAGUAUAAACGUAUUUCACGGUAACGUUUUAGGGUAUAUUUUAUUUUUAAAAAACUAACAGCAUUAGGUUGAUAUACGUUAUUGUAAAUAACAUUUUACUUUUAAAACGUUAUUUUCAGUAAUGUUUUACUCCUAAAACGUUACUAUGAGUAACGUUUUACUUUUAAAACGUUAUUAUGAGUAACGUAUAUCAAUCUGACGCUAUCAACUUUUAAAAAAUAAAAUAUAUCCUAAAACGUUACUGUGGAAUACGUUUAUACUAGUUUUGCAAAAUUUUAGAAAAACAUAUUAUUUUGGUGAAUUGCUUUAUAUAAUGGCUUAAUUUGGUUAAAACCCCCUUAUAUAUUAUGUAUACAGUCAUGUAUGUAUACACCAUUAAAUUGUAUUCUAAAUAUAUACACUUUCGAUAUAUAUAUUUAACAUUAUAUAUACAGUCAAGUAGUACUACUUGGCGAAAAGCUUUGAUCUUUCCCUUGCCUAACUAGGGCUUUUGUUAUUUUAAUUGGUUUGCAGUUGCCUUUUCUUUCCUAGGCUAUUGGCACUUGUAUUAGAAUUCAUUUUCACUGAACACUUUGUUCGAUCUGAGUUUCUUUUGUGACAAUGGCCUUACAGCAUCCCAUUUUAAUCCCAAAUCUCUUAUUGCUCAAGUAACUAUCAAACUUUUGUUUCAUGGAGAGACCGUGAUGGUCAGAGGUUUUGGCAAGUUGUUUGGUUGAAAUUUUAAUCCCUUAAAAAACAGCUAAAAUUGAAAUUCUUCUAUAGAAAGUUUGUACGUUAAAAUUCUAAUUCUUGAAGAUUGUUAUUACAGGAUGUUGUGAAUGAUAGGAUCACUCAUUGCCGGGAAAGCAGAUGAGUGUUCAUUUUUUGCUGGAACUGGAAAAUGUCAGCAAGGCUUUGUUAGUUGACUUAUUCGGGUCUUAAUGCUGAUUUACUGCCUCUUGGCAGUAGGUUCAGUUAUCUCCCCCAAACUCAAGUUACCACGAGGACAUUGAUAUUUGAGUUGUAAGUACCUGACUUGGAACUGGAGGAUGCUUAGUUACACCCCGCUGCUGAUGGAGAGUUGCGAGUACCUGACUGCAGUUCUGAUUAUCCUCGUCUGUUGUUGAUUGUAAAUCAUCAUUUGUGUCUUGCUCAACUCGUGGUGCCCAACAGGUGCUGGUGGGGUUAAUCUCUAUUCCUCAAAAUAACUUGAGAGUAUUUGUCUUCCAUAAAUCAACGAAGAUUUAUUCACAUGGGUUGAAAUUGUUGGGUAUUGUAUUUAGCUUUUCUCGUCAACAAGAAAAAGAUGAAAUUCUUCAAAUCCUUGAUUUAUGAUGACCCUGCUCGCUUCUAUACACAGUUAUGUGCAGAAGUUGAAAUUUUCAUCUUUGGUCACCAAUUCGAGCAUGUGCUUUGCCCCGAGUUCAUCCUGCUGCUUUUUCAUAAUAACAUAGGAUUUAAAUAAAAGAAGAAACGAAUUAUAAAGUUGGACGAAGUGAUUCUUUCUUCUGAUACAAUAAUCAGUACUUGGCUCACUACUCAAAGAAAAGGUAGAACAAAUGGAAAAUGGAGAUCUUGUUCUAUUGAAAAGUUCUGCAAAAAUCUCAAACAUUUUGUCAAAUUUCAAUAAGUUAUAUACUCGUAUUUUAUAAGCUACUGUUGAAUUUGUGGUUUAUAAAUAAAGAGAUUACAAAAGGAAAAGAAAAGAAAGAUGUUCGGGUGAACAAGUGUAUGUGAGAUUUAUCCCACAUCGUCAGAAACAAGGGCAGGCAAGGUAAUGGAGUGAUAUAAAAAUAAAGGAGGGUACGACCUUGAAACAUACUUACCUGGACGGGGUCAAUGGGCGAUCAUGAACACCCAUGGCCUAGGUUGGUGACCAUCAUUGCACUUUGAAGGGGUGCCCGCCUAAGGUCGGCCCAAGUGGUCGAGCCUACGUCAUAAUUUGUUGCUGAGGGGGCCUGCGUUCGCGCGGCCCCUGCCAAUUCUAGUACAAGUGCUUCAAUCUCGAGUUAGUUUUUUACUUCCAUUUAAUAGAGCAUGGGUAAUUUUAAUUUAGGAAUGUGUGUAUUUUCAUAACAAAUACUAACACUAAUGUAAGACUGAAUUUAUA